CAUGGUAAACUAGUCAUAGAAAUGUGAUAAACCAUGUUGGUGAAUUAGUAGAUAAUUAACAUAAAAAAGUAGAGUACUUAGUUAUUUUUUUUUGUGUGUGAGACUGUAUGUGUGCGUGACUGUGAAAGAAGGGUUGGAACAAUUGUGUGUUCCUAAGUCGUUUGUGUUUAGGGCCGGAAGUGGGCCGGGCCAGGUCGGACCACACCCCUCCCCAAGCCCGGCCCGAAAUUAUUUUUCGGGCUUCGGGCCGAGCCUAGGCCCGAACAGUUUUACAAAAACUCGGCCCGAGCCCAAUUGGGCCAGCCCGAUUGGACUAAAGUCCGCCAGGCCGAUCACGAGCCCGGCCCGAGCCCAUUUGGUUCCCAUAAUAGCUUCCAACAUGCUGUCAACCCUCUAUAAUAGCUUGAAAAGAAAAGACAAGCUGCAUGAUGUUAUCUAAAAGGAAAAAAGAAAAAAUAGCUUCAAAUAUGACAUGUAGCUUCAUCUGUUUAUCAGGCUCCAGAACCAAAAUUCCAGGUAGAGAAUCAUGAUAACUUCCAGGUAACGCAGCAUGAAUAAGAACCUUGGAUCCAAAAGAGAGAGAGAGAGAGAGAGAGAGAGAGAGCACAUAUUUCCAAACCCAUUUUGAGCCCAAAGCAGAGAUUGCACUAAAUCUUUCUCUUUUCUUCCCGAUUUUUCCACUAAAGAUCGCCAACAAACCAAUUUAAGUCAUAAUUCUUGCGUCCAGACAAAGAGAUCAGAGAGAAACAAAAUCCAAAUUCUUCCGUGAAGAUUCCCAAGUUCCCAUUUGAAACCUAAAAUUCGAGUGCAAUCGAAGAACCUAAACAUAAAUUUCAAGAUUUAAAAAUGUUUCACACCUCUUCCAGGGAUCGAAAGCCCUCAGAUCGCGAUGGGGGUGAGGAGGGGAAGAUCAUUCGUACCUCAAAACCUAGCUUUGCCGACAAUAGGGUGGUCGGGGCUCCUCUUCACCACUUCGCCGAGCUUGGACGGUCGACGACGACUGGCGAUCGGCGACGAGCCGACAAGGAGAAGCGGAGAAACCCUAGCUCCACGCCUCCACCGCUCGUUCGCUCUGACGCCUCUGCAAAUCCCAACCAAAAGGAAGAAGAUCAUUCGUACCUGAAAACCUAGCUUCGUCGACGAUAGGGUGGUCGGGGCUCCUCUUCACCACUUUGCCGAGCUUGGACGGUCAACGACGACGACUGGCGACCGGCGACGAGCCGACAAGGAGAAGCGGAGAAACCCUAGCUCCACGCCUCCACCGCUCGUCCGCUCUGCACCUCUGCAAAUCCCUCGGGCAACAACCAACUGGGUAGUCUGGGUUUAAGUUAAACCGCGAUUUGGCAAACCCCUGUGAUUCGGCAAACCGCGAUUCGGGCUACUCGGGCUGGAAGUGGGCUCGGGCUGGGCCGGGCCCGGGCCGGGCCAAUGAGAUACCCGUGCCUGGCCCGAAAUAGAAAUGGGCUUAAUUGUUCAGCCCGAGCCCGGCCUGAAAUGCAUUGGGCCUAGCGCAUAGCCCGGCCCGCGGGCGGCCCGACCCGAUGGGCUCCGGGCCAGCCCGAGCCCACUUCCAGUCCUAUUUGUGUUAUAUCUCUUGUGUUGCAUUAAUGCUUCAUCAAAUGAUCAAUAAAUGGGUGAAUGACCUCUAGCCCAUCUAAAGAAGCAUGAGAAACAGAUUCUGUUUUUCUAGCUCUAGAAAUGACCGUAAACAGUGACUGAAUGCACCUGUUUUAUACCUUCAGCUUAGGUUAACAUGAGAAUGUGCAAGCACUCGAAACUAUUCUAGAACACUUCAUCCGUAAUUCCUUUUAACCACUAAUAAACACAAGGAGAACAAAAGUGUCAAAUUACUGUAUGAAACCAAGCUACUUUAUCCACAAGAUUUCGGGGCAUCAAUCUUUCUUGAUACUGAAUGUUCAUAUUUUCUGAGCCGCUAGGUCAGUCAAAUUAAUUUGAAGCAUUUUAAAGUGCUUCAUGUGGGUGUUUGCCACUCUGCUUCAAUGUUUUAUCCCCCCCCCCCCCUCCCUCCUCCUCCUCCUCAAACAAAAACAAACAAACAAAAAAAAAACUGUAUGUACAAUGGACUCUUAAAAUGCCUUGCAAGAAGCCCCUUUAACUAAUUCUUUAACAGAAACAAAUUCUUGAUCAAGAACUUGUUCCCUAGGUGUCAAAAUAACAAGUUGAAGCAUGCUACUGAUUGCAUUGGGGGAUCAAAAGGCGCUAUGGUAUAUCAAAAUAGAUGAUUUAAGUAGGAAGCAGUUGGUGCAUGGGAAUGGAAAUGGAGAUUGGUUUGGUUAAUCAUGGUAGGAAAGUCAGAAGUUCUGCCGAAGGCAUGUUAAAGGAGAUUAUUUGAAAAUGAUGGAAUAUAGCUGUAAAUUAUAAUUAUUUGCAUUAACAAUCUUGAGGUCUUUGCUAGCUUGACUUGCUCGGAGUUUAGGGAAGCAGGAUUUUAUUUUUGAAAGCUAGAAAAUGUUUAGAUCUGUUAAAUUUGAAUAUAAGCAACAUUGUAGGAUUGAUGUUGGACAAAAAUAAGGUGAUUGUUAGCAGAACUAUGUAGAAUUUAGAGCAAAAACAGCCUUUUCAAAAUGCAUUAAACAUUUAGAAGAUCAGUUUUGGAGGUUUAAGACUGAUAACUAUAGAUGAAAAAGGAAAUUUGAUUUAAUAAAAUGCCCAUAUAAGGGAAUAAAGGCAAGCUUGUGUGCUUAUAGAUAUUAUAUCAUGGAACAUCGGCAUCUUGGGUUGGAGGGAAACAAAAAACAGAACCUCUUUGUGCAUGCUAAUAGCGUGUUUUUUUAGAAGACUGCCAUUAUAGGUUCAAGUUAGAAGCAUUGUUGAAAAGAAAAGAUAUUCUUUUUAUCCAGUGGAGUGCCAGUGGUAUGGGUGAGUGCCACCCUUUGAUUCGAGACAUCCGGGCCAUGAUCUGUGGCGAGGUGGCAUUCCAGGCUAAGCAUGUUUAUAGAGAGGCCAACUAGGCUGCAGACUAGGUGGCUUUAUAAGUGGCCAACCACUCCGGAGAUACCCUUUAUCGGAAAGAGGGAGUUGCCCAGUGCGCUCUAUGAUAAGUUGUCUUUUGACUUUUUUGAAUGUAUCUGUGCUAGAAUUGUAUGAAUCAUUUAUUUCAACCAAAAAAAAAGAAUAUCUCUUUUUCAUUUAAACAAGGUUUAUGCUAUCUGGAAUACUUUAUUGUUGGCAGGCCACCAUGUUUGGAUAAUAACUGCAAUAAAUGAUUUUGAUGAUUGGGCUUGGAGAGUGAAUGAGGAUUUGAGCAUUAUAUAUGAGUUCUUUUGGGAAAAAAAUUGAGGAGUGCUGAAAACAUGAAAAGAGUAAAAGACUUCAUCAAAGGAUUGAAUAUUUGCCUUAAGGAAACUAACAGAAAUUCAUGCAAUAAAAGAAAUGAGAGAGAUUUGCAAACUUGUAUAAGGGCAAAAGGAAAAGAAGAGAAAACAAAAUUUUGAUAAUAAUGAAGGCACACACAAUCACAAUACAAUUCAAGUGGAAGAUCUUCUAUUAAGGCAAGCUAAUACUUUAUAUCAAAAAUAAAGAACAAGUUUUUGAUGGGGGUGUUGUUGGGGCAUAAAGCAAAGUAUUUUGAACAAGUUCUGUAAAAUCAAGCCCAGUGUGUUGAGGUCGAGAAGAGAUAAGAGAUACUGAGCUGUUGAACUUCAAUAAUGUGAAAAUAACACCCAUUAUAGAUGGUUGCAAAUGAAAGGAGAAGAGUUAUUAGUUGUUAUGCGUGGUUUUGAGCAAUCAGAAUCUUGAGGAUGUGUUCUAAUCGAGGAGUGGGAAUGAGUAACAUAUCUUUUUUUAAGCUGCAGAGGAUAACUUGUUAGAGUUUAUUGACUUGUUGGGCAGGUGUCAGGGUGUAGACUCUUGCAAGUUGCUUAUAGGAUAUAUAUAUAUAUAUAUAUAUAUAUAUAUAUAUAUAUAUAUANNNNNNNNNNNNNNNNNNNNNNNNNNNNNNNNNNNNNNNNNNNNNNNNNUGGACCAUAGAUGCAAGGAUCUAUUUUUAGAUAUGAUACAGAUUUACAAUACUAAAACAUGCAGCAAAUUCGAUGAUUGUUCCAAAUUACCGCAAACCGAUGUCACAUUUAUAUGAUCAGCUUAGAAAGGAGAGGUGGAAUGUCAACAAACAAACUAAUAAUUUGCUUAACCUUUAUAUUAUUCUGUAAUAACUCUCAAGGAACCAAUUGCGCAAUGAAAAUUGGCAGGCUUACUCGGAAGUGCCUCUAAUCCAUGAUUGUCAUGACAUAUUUAUGCUCAAUUUAAAUGUGAAAAAUGAGAUCUAGGGAUAAUUUUUGGAGCUGAUGUUCAAAUUUGAUUUUGUGAACUUCUUUACCUAGUGUUUACAUCUCUUUUGGAGCAAAUUUGGUUUCUUGAGGAGUUAAGAGGAAAUGGAUUAUGAUCUUCAUGUUCUACCCUGAAACUACAUGCUCUUACAACAGGGGAGUCAGUGGCGUAAAUCUACACCCGGGGAAAGGAAAUGCCCCAUCCAACCGUUGCCCAGGUUUCACCAUGACUUGGUAGAACUGUGGAACAUUGCUCUUAAUUCAUGGCCAAAGACACAAACAUGUGGAAAUAAAACUGUGUGGAUGCUUAGCAUGUGUAGGCUAGGUGAUGAAAUCUGGUUAUGAGCAUGAACAUUGUGAAGGAAAAUAAUAAGAUAUGGUAUUUGAUGGGGAACAGGUUGAAUCAUUGGUGGAAAUCCAAUAGCUUGUUGUUGGCCAGUUGUUUCUAUGCAAUAUGAUCUGUGCCUGUUAUAGACAAAGAUAUAUAUCAAAUGAGAAACUUUUACUUUGUAAAAAUGUGCUUAUGGUCAUUUGAGAAUUGCCAAGUUAUAUCAUCAUGUUUGUACCUCUUGAGUUUUUAACAGUUUAUUAUUUCUGUCAUUUUAUUUUCCCUGUUGACAGGAAACUGAUGGUCCAGAAAUGGCAGUCACUAAGCUUUUCGCAUCUGCUAAAAAGAAUAGUGUUCAGUCAAGGGAGUAUGGGUCCUUCAUACAUUGUAUGCGAAAUCUUCCUUCUGAGGGACAGAUCCGGGUAUUCUUAAACUUCAAAUCUGUGUUGUCUGAAAUGUUCUUAUAAAUGCUCUUUCAGAUUUUUAUUGGCAUUUGCCACCUGUUCUAGGCAACUGCCGUUGAAGUACAAAACCUUCUUGUUUCUGGUAGAAGGAAAGAGGCCCUCCAAUGUGCACAAGAAGGUCAGUUGUGGGGCCCUGCACUUGUUCUUGCAGCACAGCUUGGUGAGAAGGUUUGUCACUUUCUCAACAUUUUAUGCUAUUUUGCUUCCAUUUUAUGAUGGUUUUGCUGUUUAUUAUUAUCCAAUUUCUUGCCCUAUGCAUUUGCACUGAAAUAAAAUUAUUGUUUUUUUUUCCUUUAAAAUCCUUAUAUCUCAUUUGUGUUUGAUUGAGCUGCAGUUUUAUGUUGAUACUGUGAAGAAAAUGGCACAUCAACAGUUUGUAUCUGGAUCACCUUUACGUACAUUAUGCCUACUUAUUGCUGGACAACCUGCAGAUGUUUUUUCUGGGGGAAGCUCCUCCAGUAGUUUGUCUGGUGCUGCAAAUAUAUAUCAACAACCUGCUGAGGUGAUUUAUCUUCUAGAACAGUCAGUUGCUGAUUUUGCUUGUAACAUAAUUGUUUCUGCUACUCCUUAAUUCAUGCUUUUGGAAUUAUGUGGAUAUUUUGUUCUACAGAAUCUUCAGCAUGGUUACUUUUUGGGCAAUAGCUGCUUAAUUGUGUGAAUCAGGGUCUGACGAACCGGCGUGUACCGGCCGGUUCGGACCGGUCUGGCUUGUAACCGGUAUGCCGGAGCAGUGGAAACCGGUACGGGCCAGUUCUGUGCCGGAGACGAAGAGAAGGAGAGAGAGCGUGGGGAAGAGAGGGAGGGAGGAGACUUGUGGCCGCCAUCGGAGAGCCGCAGAGGGGCGGCGGGAGGGGGCCCCGGGGGGGGGGGGGGGAGGGGGGGUGGGGGNNNNNNNNNNNNNNNNNNNNAGCGGUGGAACCCACGGCUUUUUAAUUUGAGGAUUUUAAGUGAAUAGUGUGAUUUUUUGAUACUUUUAGUGGGGAACAUAUGGUAUAAAAUAUUGUCAUGGGUAACCCUUUGUUCAAGCCUGCUUUAAAGAUUCAAUCUGAAGAUAUUGAUAUCUUGGAGCUUGAUGUUAACUUGAUCUGAGAUCAAUCUGGCAUCUCAGUUUUUGAAUUUCUUUGUGAUUGCUUGGCACUUUUGAGCUCAUUUUGUGUUUUCUAAUGAGAUACAGACUCAGGCCUCUGGCAUGUUGGAUGACUGGGAAGAGAAUUUGGCCAUAAUAACUGCAAAUAGGACAAAGGAUGAUGAACUAGUAAUAAUUCAUCUUGGUGAUUGCUUGUGGAAGGAGAGAGGAGAGGUUUGUGUUUCAUCCUUUUCUUUACUAAUUUUUUUUCAAAACAUUAUAUCUUCAAAUGUGCUUAAUAUAAUAUAAUUUACAUAAAUCUUUGGAAUAGGUAACUGCUGCACAUACCUGCUAUCUGGUUGCGGAGGCAAACUUUGAGUCAUAUUCUGACAGUGCAAGACUCUGUCUUAUUGGUGCUGACCACUGGAAAUGUCCUCGAACUUAUGCCUGUCCAGAAGCCAUUCAGGUCCUGUUCAGUAGGAUUUCAGUUUAUUUAGUUCUAUCUAUACUUAUUUUUUUGUUAGGUUUAAUGGCUUCUAAGAUCUAUAUUAAGUUGGUCUCAGUUAAAUCUAGCUUGCUUCUUUUUUCUUGCUUUGGUGAUUUCGACUUUUUUUUUGUGUGUGUAUGUGUGCAUGUCUUCUUGCUGUUUCUUGCCAUGCUUACUUCCAACAAGCUUGCUAAAGUAUUGCCAUGGGAUGAAGAUCUGCUAAAUUCUUCCAUUCUGUUUAGUGAUUGUGGCUAUAAUGUUACUUAUUUUGGAGGUUUAUGUGAAUGAAUAUGUUGCACAGCGAAAUCAAGAAUUUUGCUCCCUCUCCCUUCACCAUGGUUGUUCCCUCUGCGAGAUGACAGAGUCUGCCCAUAAGAGUAAAUCACUUAUGAUCAGUUUUGGUCCUUUAUGUACUAAAAUACCCUAACUUCUUAUUUACCCUAUAGCAAAUCUUCACCCGCCCUCUCUCUCUCUUGUUUCUUUCCUCCCUAUUUUUUCCUUCAACUGCCCAUAUUCCAUUCAUUCACCCACUAUCACAAAAGUUCUUUCUUCAUCAUAAUCCCUUCCGUGCUACCACCAGUCCCUCUUCCCGCCUCCCAUCUCCUAGAGCAUGACCCCCAUUUCUUUCCUGCCAUCUACAAGCUUCUGUUCUCCUCAAACUGCUUAAUUCAGCAUUCUUGCAAGCAUCAGCAAUUGCCAGUGUCCUGGAUGACAUCUUCUCAAUGUUGGCUGGUUGGUGCCAUGAUACCAUUGCUAUCCAGUGUCCUUUACUCGUGAAGUAAGGAGUCCAGAUCUCCUACUUGGUUAGCAACGGUAGCCCUAGUCAUGCUACCCCGGCUAGUGCUAUCCGCCAAAUCACCAACAUUGGCAUGACUCCCUUGGUCGGAGCUUCCCAUCUUCAUUCCACUAGUCUUAUACACUUGAUACAUUGCAUGGUUUCUCGGCCAUGGCAGGCCUUAAGAGUAAUAGUUGGAGUUUUUUUUUGUGGACUCUACAACAGAAACCGAAAGUUUUUAGUUUCAGUGUGGACUGGUGAAAUUGGAUUUGGUUCUAGAGUAGCCAACUUUAAUGUAUAUAUAGGUUUCUUAAUCUGGUUAUUUUCUCUUUUUCUAAUUUCUUUAAAUGUUAGGGGGCAUUUUCUCUGGUCUAAUUCUAUGUUUUGUGAACAUUUUGAAGCAUUUGACGCUAGACUCAAAGGUGAUUUGGACAGCAAGUAAAUUUUUCAAUGUGGGCUUGGUUAUUUGAUAUCUUGAAUUGUAGACAUUUCUAAUAUCAUAUGUUCGUUUACAAAUGGUAUGGUGUAUACAAAUGACUUUUUGAAUAUUUUUUAAAAGUAAUUUUUGAUUGCUUCAUUGUGAAACUGCUAAAAUAAUACCGAUGGCCAGCACCCCCUCCCCCACCCCUACCCCUUUCUUUCUUCUCUCCACUACUAAUUCUGAGCUGGCCACCAAUAGGGGUCUUUGGACAUAUUGUUGUUUUCACUUGUUACUUUAUGAUGAAUUCCAAAGGCAUGGAACAAGAUAAUCUCUAUUUUGUCGAGCUUCUCUGCUCAACUUCUCUCUCCCCUUUCCAUCUUGGUCUCUCUAUGUUACCUUCUUCUUCCUAUCACCCUGCUCAUCUUUCUUUUUUUAUUAUUUAGGAUAGCAUUUGCUGCAGUUUUCCCUUAGAUGAAUUGUAAUUCAAAUAUGAAACUAUAUCAACCCUAAAAGGUUGCUUAACACAUCCCUAGUUUCACCUGGCUGUGUUAACUGCCCCUGCAGUCACUGAACUUGAGUCACCAUGGGCAGUCGUGUCCUUCAGGUAAGGGGACCAUUUAUAUGUUUUACACGUGGAAUCUUCAUCUUUAAACAGCAGUUUCCUGAAAUGGAUUCACAAUAUCGAGCAAUUUAAUGUGAGACAGAUCGCUGUGCCAGUGCAAAGUGUUGAUUUGAAGCCUGUAAAUGGUUGUAGGCUUGUAGCCUUUUGAAGGCAUUUCCCAAUCUCAGCUCUACUUGUGUAUAAACUUCAUGCCUCUAUCCAGUCCUUGUCCUCCCAUGGAAAACUCAAGCUGUUCACUCAGAUAUUUUGAGUCUAAGACAUGCACAAGACAUACCUAAUACCUUAUAUGAGUGUGUAUGAGCAGAAUUAUCCCUGAUUAUUGCAUGUAAAAUACCCGAAAUAAACAAAUGGAUUAUAGGGUUCAGUAAAGAGAAUGUGGAAAAUGAUGAUCCCUAUUAUGCAAGGUGGGAGGAACAACCCAAGCAAGCUAUGCCUUUUGUCUAGGAUGAACCCCUUGUGCAUGCACAGGAAUGUGCUUGUGAUGAGUGUAUAUGCAAUUAGCCUUUUAGAACUUGUGUUCUUAUUUGUUUUGGCUAAUGAUUCAUGCCCCAAAGAUGACACAAUUCCCCUUAUCAAACCUUUCCCACUUCUAUAUUCUUCAAGUCCAUUUGAAUUCGGUGGGGUGUUUUUCCUAGUUGCAUUAGCUUAGAUAACUGGUAAAGUAGGUCUUUACCUAGAAUUGGUCUUCUAUGUUUCAUGAUAGGCGUACCUUUUGUGCAAAGUUUCUUUGGCUAGGAAUAUAAUAUUAGUUCUAAAUGGUUGACAUCACAUGAGGGCCACUUGUAAAUUGUUCUCAAACUCUAGUGGGCCAUUCCGAAGCCAAGAUGUCAACUCCAUACAGAUGGGAUAAGGCUGAACACUUUAUUAUAUAUGCCAGACAAUGCCAAUGCAACCAACAGAACCAGAAAUUCUUUUCCAUCAGUUCUUCCUAGCUUGUUUCCUUUCAAUUGCUGCCUGAUUCUUCCCUGUUAAUUUGCAGCAGCAAUAUUGCUGUUUCAAUGUUUGCUCGGAUUUCUCAUCAUAUUCUGGAUUUCUAAAUAUAUGCUGUGUGUUGGUUUAUAAACUGAUUCAGCAUGUAAAAUAUUUCUACAGAGGACAGAGUUAUAUGAAUAUUCAAAGGUGCUUGGAAACUCACAGUUUAUCCUGCUACCUUUUCAACCAUACAAAUUAAUCUAUGCCUACAUGCUGGCUGACAUGGGGAAGGUUCCCGAGUCAUUGAGGUGGGUAGUAGUUUUUGUUCCCAUUUCAUUAUUACUUAUGCUUUAGCUUAUAUUAGCAUGGUUAAUUUAGGUACUGUCAAGCAUCUUUAAAGUUGCUGAAAAAUUCUGGUCGUACUCCUGAAGUUGAAAUGUGGAAAUCAUUGUUAUCAUCCCUGGAGGAGCGGUUGAAAACCCACCAGCAGGUAGCUUGAGCAGAAAAUUGUUGUCUGUAAGCAUCUACAGUUGCACCAUUUUCUUUCUGAUGCCUCUCUCCUGUUACUUCUGCAGAGUGGAUACAGCACAAACUUGGCCCCAGCAAAACUCGUAGGUAAAUUGAUUACCUCCCUUGAUAGAUCUCUUCACCGCAUGAUGGGUGCACCACCACCACCUCUGCCACCAAUGUCACAAAGCAGUGUAAAUGAUAAAGAAAUCUUCUCUGGGGUCCCAAAAGUAGCAAAUAGUCAAUCAACAAUGGCAAUGUCAUCAUUAAUUCCAUCAGCUUCAGUGGAGGCCAUGAGUGAGUGGACAAGUGAUAGUGGUAGGAAGAGUAUGCACAACAGAAGUAUUUCAGAGCCAAAUUUUGGUAGAAGCCCUAAACAGGUGGUUCCCUCUGCUCAAUUGGAGAAAAAUGUUUUUUCUUUCUCCCCAAAUUCACUUCUUGCAGUAAUGUUGGACUUUCACUGUCUAGGACUGUUUCUCUCUGAAAUUGUUGUUUUAUUUCUUUCCUAAUCAUGUUCAGCAAUAUCACAAUAGAUUCUUGAAAAAAUAUUUCAAUGCUCUUUGCUGACUUCAUACAGAACUCAUCAAAGGAUGCAGGCUCAGAUAGUCCUCAAAGCAAAGCGUCAGAAUCAGGGGGAUCUCGCUUUGGGCGUAUUGGCUCAAAUCUUCUCCAGAAAACUAUGGGUUGGGUCUCAAGAUCCCACCGCCAGGUACUUCUUUUGAUAUAAUCGAGUUGUAAUUCUCCCAGCUUCUUACACAACUUGAGCUUAUACAUGUCAUGCGUCUGCUAAAUCAUGACUGAAGGCAAAACUGGGUGAACGAAACAAGUUCUAUUAUGAUGAGAAACUUAAGAGAUGGGUCGAGGAAGGUGUUGAGCCUCCAGCUGUGGAAGCUGCCCUACCACCACCUCCAUCAGCGGCAUCAUUCCAGAAUGGUUUGCCAGAUUACAACAUAAACAAUGCCUUCAAAGGUAGCGAAAGUCCUGCUGCUAAUGGUUGGCCAGAGGUGAAAUCCUCAAUCCCCACAGAACAUAGCUCCGGAAUCCCACCCAUUCCACCCAGCCAGAACCAGUUCUCAGCUCGUGGUAGAAUGGGGCUUCGAUCGAGGUAGAUAACUGCUCUCUCUCUCUGUCUCUCUGUCUCUGUCCGUCUCUCUAUCUGUAGCUCCAAGAGUAUAUAUAUUUGGUGCAGAAGUGAUGGGAUGAGAACAUAUGAACUGUUUCUUUUUUUUUCAGAUAUGUUGAUACGUUCAAUAAGGGUGGUGGAACUUUGACAAACUCAUUCCAGUCACCUUCAGCUCCAUCUCUGAAGCCUGCAGCUGGUGCCAAAUUUUUCAUCCCUACCGCACCUGCAACAUCUGAUGAGCCAAAAACUGAAACAAUAGCAGAAAGCAGCCAAGAAGCCGCCCUUCAUGAAGAACCAUCUACAUCAGUUCUAAAAGAAGCAUCAUUUUCUUCGCCAUCAUCAUCAUCGCCAUCAACCAUGCAGCGGUUUCCAAGCAUGGACCAUAUUACUCCUGGAAACAAGGGUUCCGAGGCAGCAUUCCGAGGUGGCAAUGGCCCCUUAUCACGGACGCGUGCAGCAUCAUGGAGCGGAACUUUUACGGACGCAUCCAAUUCUAAGAUGGCUGAAAUAAAGCCAAUAGGUGGUGGACAGUGUGCGCCAUCAAUACUCACGCCCAGCAACGCUUCGCAUUCCCGUUCGGGCAGCAGCUCAUCUGUACGGCAUAAUGGUGGUUCUCUGGGCGAUGACCUUCAUGAGGUGGAACUCUGAUGCGUGAUAUUUUAUGCCAUGUUUGCAGUGGUCAAAACGCUACUACCCUCCCAAAAAACAGAGUGGGUAGGGUUCUACGGAAUUAUCUUGAGAAUUAUACUGCUUGAUGAAAUGCUCCACCCAAAAUGUUUCUGUACUACAGUCCAGAUUUUGGAUACCUGGCAUAUGUAUUCCUAAUGUGAAACUGGUGUCCUUUUACAUGAAAACAUGUGGAUGCCGUUGUACAGAUAAUUUGUUGAUUUAUUGAAGAUAGAAAUCCCAUAUUGUUCUUAAGAAGGGGCAUACAAAAAGAAAUCUUAAGAGCAAACUCUUGAGAAGGAUACUUCCAAUUCCAUAUUCUCGAAGGAAAGCAGCGCAAUAAGUAGCCACAUACCAUUAUGAUUUUUGUUGUGUUUUCAGGAUCCAUGGUUAUAUGGUAGUGCAGCCAUAAAGGCAAAAUGUAGUGAGGCAUUUUAAAUUAUUAGGAUGCUGGAUGAUAGCCAUGAGAGUAUAACUUUUUGGUGGUUGAGAAUUUUUUCUUGUGAAGUAAAUUACUAUUUACUAAGUACUCAUUUGGUUCGUGACAAUAAUUUUCUCAAAAAUAGUUUAUAUUUGGUUAAUAUUUAUUGUUUAUAAAAAAAAUUGUGUAAAAUAUUUAUUAUAUUUUUAAUAAAAAUAUAUUUUUGUUUAUAAAUUUUGACGGUUCGAGAGUAGUUUUGAAAAAAAAAGUAUCAAUUUUCAAUUGGUAAGAAAGUAGCUUUUUCAUCUUUCUCAUAGCUUUUUUUUUUUUAAUGGAACAUGAAAAUUUUAUUUUUUUGGAAAUGCUAUUUUUUUAUUGCUUGUAUGAAACUCCAAACUAGAGACUUUCUUCAUUUUUUUGUUGACCAUACUUUUUUUCCUUCGUUCCGUACGAUUCAAACGAAACAAACGAGCCCUAAGUUUUCUUUGUCGGUUCCAAGGGGCUGAUUUUUUUGCCCUAUUUUGUGAUAGAGCCUGUUGAUUUGGUAUUGCUUUUAUUUUUGUUUCCUCCAAUUUGUUCCAAUUGCAUGGACUUGAUGCUAAUUAACCAACGAUUCUGACCCUACUUGAUGGGGGAGUUGGCAUAUAAUAGCAAACAAUGAAUUGGAGGGAAUGCAUUUCGAACCUUUCACCUAGUAAAUGGUAGCCAUACUGACCUAGCCAAUUAAGGAGGUGGGAGAUCCUGAAAGAGGGGAAUGUAGAGAGGGGGCGUUGGGAGAUGCACGGGGAAUGGGGAAAAGGGUAGGAGAGUUGGCAUUCCAUACUAGAAUGGAUAUGAUUUGAGUGCACUUUGAGAAACGGCAGUCUUCCAAGAAGGACGAGCCUGUUUCGUGGAAAUCUACUCUGCUUUUAUUGUUGAUGUACUAAUAACAGAUGAUGCUAAUGCAGUUUGUGAAAAUUAUUACUUGAUAAGAUAUGGCAAUUUUUGGGUUCAUUGAAUUUAUGAUUAUUUCUAGGCUUUCACUGUCAUCCAUAUGAGGAUCCGUAUGGACGUGUAUUUAGUUCCAUAUUGAUUAGUCGCCGAAAAAAUUUUAGAUACUUAUAUAGGAUUAAAAAUCCAAAAAAUAUCUUAUGGCUGGUCUUUUUGAAUAAGGUUCUACAUUGUGACAAAUAGUAUGAGAGCGGAUCCAGCUCAUGAUCCAUGUAGAUUAGGAGACAUUGCAGCAUGAGCUCAUUAAAGCUAACUACGAGCCGAUCAUGGUGCUUGUGAUUAGAUUUGAAUAGAUUUGGACCCUUAGUCUGACAAAGAUACCAUGAUUUAAAUGGGAAAAGUAUAUAAGGAUCGGUACGGAUGUGCAUUUAGUCUCAUAUCGAUUAUUCAUUGAAAAAAUUUUAGGUACUUAGACAGGACUAAAGAACUCAAAAAAUACCUUUUUGGCAAAUCUUUUUGAAUAAGGUUCUCGGUUGUGACAAUCGACCUCGAUUAAAUUAUUGCAUUUGUGCCAGAAUUGUGGGCUGAUGAUCUAACUGGUAAUUCAUCUAUUGCCAGAAGCGUGUUUGCUGCACCUUCAGUCCAGUCCUGUCCUGUGUUUUCAGAAGCUGGUGACAGAUAAUAGGAUAAAUUAAGACACCAAUCCAGCACAAAAUCGAGUCUUUUGGUAGUGUGAUUCAGUGCGACAGGCUCUGAAAUUUCGACAAAGCACCAUAACAUUAUAAAUUUAAGAUAAGGCUAUGGUGAUUAUGAAGCUAGGAGGACCAUUUUUUCAAUAUUUUUGAGGUAGCAGGAGCAUAAGAAUUUAUUUAUAAAGUAUAUACCUGCGCAGUUUAACGUUCCAUUUAGUGUGGUCAUCUUUUUGCCUACAGAUGGAAGCACUACGUGGUUUUCAUCAUCAGGCAAGGGAUCUGCUGGCUCUCACUCCAUGUACAUGAAAUCCUGAGCAUCAUCUUGAUCUCUCCUUAUGGACAGCCAAGGCUUCCUGUGGCUAUGGGGCACCUAUGUUACACUGGCAUCCAAAAUGGCAUCUUCUUUGAGCCCAUAGGCUAGCACGGCACAUUGAGCCAGGUACAAACUAAGCAACAAGUGCACCUUAUGCACUUCUAUAAUGUUCAAAUCUCUCCAUGCCUCACGCAUUUGAAAAAAAGAUUAAACUUUAAUGGAAUACCUAAUUCUCUCAACAAGGAAUUGGAAUCUCAAAUAAAAAGAAUUUAUAUUUAGAUUUUUUGGAAAUAUUUUAGACUAGCUCUUAGCUCAUAUGAAUAAGUUCAAAAAUAAUGGCUAAAUCUUAGUUAAGAUAAUUUGGAGAGAGAGGAGAAAUGUCACCUAUCUCAGAGCAAAUUUUGGGCAUGACCGGCUACCGUUCAACCAUCUCUUAUGGAGUCGAAGCACACAAAAAGAAAAUAUGUGAGAAAGCAUGUGGGUUGGAAGGAAAAUAUGCUUAGUUGACCGGAAUAUUCCUAGGAGCAGGAUUCUCAAUUAAUCCAUUCUAAUUUUUUUAAAUUCUUAAAAUUGAUAAAAGAUUAAACAUUUUGCUUUCAUAUUUAUGCCGAGUAAAUCUAUGUGUAAUUCGUAUUUAAAUGGUACUCAAAUUUGUGAUCAUAUGAGUAAGAUAUAAAGUUGGAUGUCAAACCUAAUUCGUGUUCACAAUAAAUUUGAAAAGAAUUCCUAAUUAAUUUUUUAGAAUAAAAAAUUUCGAUGAAAUAUGUAAGAAUUAGGGCAGCGGGCCCGGCCUAGACCAAAGUCGGCAGGCCCAGCCGGCUUUGAUUCAUAUAUAUAUAUAUAUAUAUGAAGGGAAAGACCGGAACAAGGGGAUCGAAAGCCAAGGCAAAACGUGGCUAUCGGAGCGCCGCGAGUCCAUUGAACGGCCGCGGGGCAAAGGAACGGUUGGGGGGGCUAUAAAAGUAAAACCCCAGAUCUUUCCUUCCUCCCCGAUCGGGAGCGCAGCACUUCGUCGGAGUGAGGUAAGGACUUCCGCCUCCUUCUCACCCCCUCCUCUGCCUUUUCCUCUUUUAGAUCUACAGGCAAUCGCCGGGAUCCGGCAAAAGGCCGGGAUGUAGGAAGAGCACAGAAGAAGAGGAAGAAGAGGGUAGGACCUUGCGGUCCCCGCGGGUCAGAUCUGGCAAGAGGAUGCCGGAAGAAAAAAAAAAAGAAUAAGAAUAAGAAGAAGAAGAAGAAGAGAGAAGAAGAAACCGAGUUUCCUAUAAUGACUAUGGGAUUGGUAAAUUGCCUGAUGCAGCUAAAAUUACAUUGUAGGGGAAAAGAAACCGAUUUGCCUUGUCAUGUUGCAUUCAAUUUUCCUCAGUUUGUUGUUUUGAAUCUGUUUCCAGGCUUCAUGACAGUGUGGUGAUUUAUUUGCAGGAUAGUUUGGAGAGAAAUCUCUUUUUCGGUAACGUUGGUAUUCCAAUUGUUAUAUAUGGGGGAGCAGUCGUUUCUUGAUCGGAUGUUAUCCCAUCUCCGAUCGACCAGCAAGUGAGGGAAUCCAGAAUCCAUUUUUCUUGUGCAUAUCUUGGUGUUAUCUCGUUAAAUGAUGAAUUUUUAGAACUGCUUUAUAAGAAAAUGUGUUUGUUGUACUUAAGAUAUGGUGAUAGUGCUGAAUUUUUAUGCGUCAGUUGCGUGGUCUUUUUUUUUCUUUCUUUUUUUUAUAACUUACUGUGUAUGCUUCAUGAUUUUUCAAUAUUUUGAUAUAUAUUCUUUUUCCUUAUUGCUGCUUUUGCUGUUUAGUUAUUAGUGGUGAUAAUCAAACCGAUGAUGGGGAUGCUUUAGUAGUGAUGCUUAGUGAUGUGGACUGUUUAAAAUUUUAAUUAUAAGGUCCUGUAAGGAAAUAUCACCUAUACAUAAACGUCUGACAGUAUAGGAAAAUAGAAAAUGAGUUGGGAAUUGUUUACUGGAUACAUUUCUUGUGAUGUUUGGGAAUCUGGUUCGUGCCUUUUGCAGCUGCAAAUGGACAAUUCUAAAGGUUGAUUUCAUGUGCAGCAAUCAAAUUUCCAAAACAAGUUAGAAAGAGUCAGGUUUUUAGGUCUUUAUAAUAUCAACAUAUACGAUAUUACUAGUAAGCUAAUAUGACUGCUUCUAUAUAAUAUGAUCUCAAUAAAGAACGCAAGCUUAUCUAUAAAUUUCAUUUACAUAAUAUCUAAUUCUUUGGAUUGUGGACAACAACUAGCAUUCCAUAAUUCAAAACCAGAGUCAGGAAAUCGUGUAUAAAUCGACAUUUUAAAUAUCUAAUCAUAUUUGAUUAGCUACUGGUAUUAAUUAAUAAGCAUCCACCUAUCAAACAUAAACAUACAUGUGCACACUAGUAUCACAGGCAUCAUAAUUAACAUAUUGAAUUAACAGGUUUGCGCAUAGAACAGUAACAUAUAUGCUUCAUUUGGUGGGUGGAGGUGUGCGUGUUGGGGGGAGGGGGGUGUGGGCUGCAGGGGACAGUUUUACAUUACUUUCUUUGCUCGGCCAACAAAUAAGCAUCCGAGGUCAGGAUCCAUGUUAGUUAGGAGCAGAUAUCAACAUUUCUUGUCUUCCUUUUUGUUUAAAGCAUUUACUAGCCUAGGGAGACCAUGGGGGAUUUCUGCUCGGUUGCAUGAGCUUAAUCCAGAUGACUAAUAAGGUUAGUGUUUCUGCUCAUCAGCUGUCUUCCUGGAUUCCAGGGAUUGCCCUUCAAUGCCCAAAAUUCUUUGCAGUUGACAUCUGGUUUGGGACUUGCAAAAAACUCUUAAUCACAAUUGGCAUCUUGUUGCAUGUUAAGCUUACGUAAAAGUAAACCUAGCCAUGGGUCUCUAGAAACUUCCUUAGGCACUUUGUUUGAGUUACUUUAUACUAAAUUUGUUUGCUUAUAUACAAGAGCCCAACAUCCAAAAACUUCCUUAGGCACUUUGUUUGUUUUAUGUAAACAUUUACUAUGCUAUUUGGUGCAAGGCUCUUUGGUGGAACACAUCUUGUAAUCUUCCUUUUUUCAUCAACAAGAGUAAUUACAGAGUACAACAAUGACAUAAAAUAUUCUAAAUGUCCAAUUUGUAUUAAAAAAAUUGACAUCCUCUAACCUGUAAUGACCUUUUUGGAAUUUAUAUUGAGAAAAGGUACGGGGUCGCUGUCAGCCUUUCUUCCUGGUAACAUGCAUUUUGCAUUCUUCAUUUUCCCUUUACCAUCUUGUAUACCAUCUGGUUAUGUAACUGCAUCUUGUUAAAUGAUUAUUUACCGAUAAACAAUUUGAUGCAAAUUGAGUCUAAGUGUUUGGCACUCGUUGAAGUUUAUGCCUUUAUGCAUGCUGCUUACUACAUAGUUGACCAUUUGUCAGAUGUAUUUAAUUAGUGUUAUACAUUAAUUUUAUUCUAAUGUUGUUCUGAAUCUUGAUGAAUAUUAGGUAUUACACUGGAUAUCCAAAGGAUAUUGGACCUUCGCGGGUUAUCCAUUUUACCUCAGAGCGUCAGUUUGUUCAGCUUCUGCAUGAAGGCCAUCCUGUGGUUGUUGCAUUUACUAUAAGGUUAUUUUGUAUAUGUUAAUUAUUUAGUUUAUCUUGAGAUUACUACUGGAUUCAAAAGAAAAGGGAAAAAAGAAUGAUCCUCCUCCCUCUCUGUGAGUCUAUAUCCAGUUUUUCCACCAGCAUCUAAACUAAAUCCUUAAUUAAUGCUCCACUGGAAACUAAUUCUUGAUAGGAGGGUUUUGGACUGGCCUAUGACAUGAUAGAAAAUUGCAUCAAUUGGAUAUGUCAUUUUCCCUUGAUGUUCAAUCAAAAGAGUAACUGUAUUAUGAACAUAAGGAUUUGGAGGUAAUCAAUUCAUUGGGUUGGUGUGCAAAUCCAGUAAAUGCAGGAAAUUGUAGUACUGCAUGCAUGCAUUGGCAUACUAUAUGACUUAUUUUUGUAGCUUGAUGCAUAUUUUACAUAUUUUAUUGUAGGGUUCCCUAUACGAAGCAUCUCGAUAGAGUAUUGGAGGAGGCCGCUGCUGAGUUUUAUCCCCAUAUAAAAUUCAUGCAUGUAAGACUACUAUCUAGCAAGUUCUGCAUAUGUUACUUUUAGACAUUUUUUAUAGCUUGCUCAUUGAGGAAUAUCAAUAUUAUUCUUCUUUAUAGCUUGCUCGUUGGGAAUAUUAAUAUUAUCCUAUAUCAUAAUGCUGUUUUUUUUAUACUUCAUUUCCACCGAUUACCUAACUUAGCCAGUGCUGCUUUUUUGCUUAGCUGCAUUUAUGUAUCAAGAUCUUUGUUUUUUGUUUAGGAAUAUCAAGACAUAAUGGGAGUUUAUGCUUUCAGGCAGUUUAUGAUAUUCUUUCAUUUCUUGCAUUCCAAACACUUCAAUACAUGUAAUUUCCUGUUCACGAAUGUGAAAUUUCUCAGAUGCUUAACAAUAUACCAUCCAUCAGUUGUUCAGUUGUAUUAUCUCUGAUCAACAUUGCUUAGACUGGGUUAAAGGCAUGUUCUAUGGUCCCAAAGUUUUGGCCAAAUAAGCUGGAGGUAGGUGGUUUUGUUAGUUGACAUCCCUAGUAGCAUUGAAGUCUCAAUGGAGAAAGUUAAUCUGGUCCAGAUUGCGGGUCUGUGAGGAUUAUAGUGUUUGAUGUGCUACAUUAUUGUAGUCAGUUCAUUCAUCUUUUAGGUAUUGGUUUACUUUCAAAACUUGGGCUCUUCAUAGGCAAUGCUUAUACAUUUUCUGUUAAGUCAGGCACCCUUUGUAUCCGUGAAAUUUAGAAUGUUGAAUGCCUCUUAACUAUUCCCUUUCUAUAUAAUGUGGUGCGAGUUAUUAGAUUCUUUAGUUUGCUUGUGCUCUUUCAACUUCCAGAUUAACUUAAUUUAUCUUAGUUUUCUCUCCUUUAUUGCAACAAAUGAUGUUGACUUUGGCUGUUUCUGCUUCCCUCUGGUUAUGAUAAUGUGGGCAAGUUGAAAGGGGAGGUUUUUUAAAUAUAUAAUGACAAGUGAAAUUUGACGUUAAAAUUUUUCAACUGAUAGAUGCAUUGCAUUGUGAAGUGGGCUUUGGCAGUGCAAAUAAAAAAAUGGCUUGUUUGGUGAUGCUGAUUGGCAGAAAAAAGAGGAGAUUUCUUGCUGAAGAUAUUGGUUUGAUGUGGUGGGUUGUAGAAGUUGGCCUCCAGUACAUGGUUCUCUCAUGCUUAUGUUUGAUGAGAGCCUGCUGGCUUAGGUUCAGAUUGAAAACUACAUCUCUCUUUUCCCCUAAGUCUAGAUUUUGUUUGGAUCCAUCAUGUGUUUUGUGAAAUUGGAUAUGUCAAUUCUGAAAGAGGGAAAGAUGGAGAUAGGGAUCUCAAAAUUAACUCUAGGGUUCAUGAAACUUGACAUUUUACAAGGGUAAUUUAGUACCUGUAUUAUUGAUUAAGAUGAGAAAACAGCAAAACUGGUUUUUAACAUCACUAUGGUGGGCUUAACUCAUUGUUUUAUUGCAAUGCUCCCCCAAUAUCUGGAAGUUGCAACCAAGAAUUUGAUAAGUGCCCUGGUGGUUGAUGUGUGUCUAAUUCAUUCAUAUCUUGUCCUGGUGGCUGACCACAAUUGCUAGACUUCGUUUUGGUUCGCUUGAUCAAAUAUAUUGUGUUUGUCAGGAAUUUUCCUUAGUUUGACAUGCUUUAGUACUCUUCUACGGUUCGCCUGCCAAACAGCUUAGAUUUAUGAAUGAGUUAUGAAAUAGUGGCUAAUUUACUUGGUAGUUUUGAUAAGUGUCCUUGGUGUAUUUUAGUAUCUUCUUAUCAAGUUUUGUAGCAUUUCGUUCCAUGGUUGGUUAUAAAAUAGUAGUUUAUUACUUACCAUUUCUUUCCGUGGUCCAUCUAGGUUGAGUGCCCCAAAUAUCCAGGAUUUUGCAUUGCAAGGCAAAGGAAAGAGUAUCCGUUCAUUGAAAUAUAUCACAGCCCAGAGCAGGUAGCCUUUGUUUUACUCAGUUUUUGUUCUUUUGGUUUUGAUCUAGUGUAAUUACUGAGGAAAAUAUAGAUGCUUCUCCCAUUCUUUGAUAAUCCAGGCCUAUUGACCUGUAAGCAUAUUUCCUGUGUUAGAUAGACCAGGGUACGAGUACUAGAGAUUUUCUUAUAAAUAUGUCUGAUGUUUUGCUUGCUUCCAGCGACUAGGUCUAAUUUUAUAAAUAUAUUAUCUUUGCUUUUGCUUUUUCUUUUUUUUUUUGGGGGGGGGAUAUGGGGUUAAUUACCUAGGUUCAAAUCCUUGGUUAAUGCACCACACAAGACCAGCCCAGAACCUCCCCCAUUGAGUGGAGGGGUGCAACUGUUAGUGCCCAGGUCUUCUUUCAUUUCUUGAAUUAGUUCCAACUAUAAUGUAGCACAGUUUGGUCAGAUAAUGUCAUUCAAGUUUUAUUUACCUUUUCUUUUUGUCGCCUUGCUCAGACAGCUUGUUUUGGUUGGAUGAUGAGAUUUAUGCUUUCAUAAUUCUGUCAUCAUCUGUUUAUCUUCUCACUUUCUUACCAUUGAUCAGGCAGCUGACCAAGGAAAAUUGGUGGAUCCCAAUAUAAAAAAAUACUCAGUCAAAGUGUUGCCUGUAAGUUUGUGAUCUUGCCUUACCUUCUCAUCUUUAUAUUGAUGUUUAAUAUGAAAAUGAUAUUUUCCUGAGACCUCGUAACAAAUGCAUUUAGUCCAGAAAAUAAAAUUGCAGACCCUUCGUGUCUGAUAUAUUGGUUUAUUCCUGCACUUAUGGUUGGUUAUACUUUCAGGAACCUACUUCAUAAUAAUACCUAGCAUGGUACCCAUUUGAUGUUCUAGAGACCUACAAGUCACCAUGUGUGCUUGUUGGUGGGCAGUAGAUUUCUUCCCUGCCUAGUGGUGAUUAUUAAGGUCUUUCACAUGAGCUACAGUACUCGAGCUAAUAUAGCUCACGAAUUCGGGUUCUCAAUAGUUUUCCUAUCCGAGAAUAUUCAGGGGACUUCCUUGUUGAUUUGGUUAUUUUCAUUAUUUCAAGUACCAUAUCAAAAGGUCCAAAUACUUGGGGCCCAGGGUCCUCUAAGUUGGAAUUUUGCCUAAUUGGUUACGCUCGCAUUCUUGAACUAGGAUGUCUACUUGGGUCCGCUAUGAGCAAGUUUUCCAAUUCUUCUGCCAGAUCUGUACUUGACCUUGUAGGAGUUUGGUAUCUGUCCUUUUGUUGUUGAUGUGGUAUGAAUUGAGCCCAGAUCUACUGUAGAGCUGGAUGUAGGCUGAUGGAGAAAGGAUCAUUCAUGCUUUGUGUGGGGAAAUGUUAUAGGAUAUCUGCUUUCUCAGUUCUGUUGGUAAUUUUUUUUCCCCUUUCAUUUUCUUUGCAGUUUAACUAUGACCUAAGUGCAUACGGGUUUCGCGAAUUUUUCAAGCGGCAUGGGACGCAUGUAUCUGAAACCAGCUAGAGCAGCACUUCCUCUAUCCAAAAAAAAAAUGCAGCACUUCUCUGGUUCAUCCUUACUAUUUUCAAGGAGCCCUUGAAUUUUACUUGAAAAUGGAGUUCCUUCACAUAUGGGAAGGGAAAAUCUCCGCUUCGACUUGGAGUCCCAGUCCCUGAUUAAAGCUUGAACCCUAUUCCCAGCAUUAUGGAGUACGAGCCAUUGCUGCCGCCUGGAACUGCAUCAUAACAUCUAAUGAAUGAGAUAGUAUGUGUCAAGAACACAGCAUUAAUCCUCUGUUCUCAGGGUUCUGCUGUAAUAAUACAACUUUUGUAGCUGUCCAGUGUAAGGAGGAAUAUCUAGAAUGCAAUCUCUAAAUAUUAUUAGAUGACGUACCGAAGAUUGUAGUCUACAAGGUCCACCGAGACCAUGCACCAUAUCACCCAAGUUAUCAUGAGUCUAGCUGAAGAAUUUGCAUGAUCAUGCAUGAUGCUGAAACUAGCAGCCUUUCAGUUGUCAGCGCUUGCAACUGGAGUAUUAAGUCCCAUACUGGUGCUGUGGAUGAUAGUGGUGGUAGCAGGCGGGUCAGGACAAGUAGAUGAUGGAUCCAAUAUCAUGCUGAUGAAUGAAAUGCCAGAGUCCUAAAACAAUUAACUUGGCCUGACAACUAAUCCAUGAACUCAAAUUAGACCUAAACCUAUGAGCCCUCAUACAAGUGUGCGUUUGGUUAUGAGAGAUUUUAGAUACUUAUAUAGAAUAAAAAAAUUAAAUAAUUUUGUAAUAUCAUCUGUUAAGUCUUUUUGAGUAAAAUUUUGGGCCGCUGCUCUUUGAAUAGAAUUUUGGGUCGCUGCAAAUGGUAUCAAAAUAGACCUAGUCUAUAAUUAUCUAAAGUGGAAAAUACUAUAAUAAAGGUGCGUUAAGCUAAUUAUAGUAUUUAUGAUUAAAUUUGAUUGAAUGUAGAUCUUUGGCUUGAAUGAGAAGGCCAAAUAAUAACUUUCAAUUUUUUUUUUAUACAUGUAUUUAGUUCUACAUUGGUUAUGCAUCUAAAUAAUAGUUUUGAUUUUUUUAAUUAAAAUAUAUAUUGAAUUCUUGAUAUAAGAACAAGAAAUUUAAAUAAUACGUUCUAGCUUUUUUUUUUUUUUGAAAAAGAUCCUAAAUAAUAUUUAUAAAAAAAAGCAACAUACAAUAGAAAAAUGCUAAUUUACAGCAGAUAUUUACUAGAUCAAUCCAACAACCUACUCCAAAGUCAACGGAUCAACAGGGGAAAUAAAUGAAUAAAAUGUAAAUAAUCCCCCUCCUAAGUGCCCUGCCAUCUGGCAGCACUAAUACAACAAUACAACAAUUCACAAAUACACAGCUGACGCACAAGAAUGGCCAAAAUUGUUAGCACGAAUAAGAUCAUGAAUAAGAUUAGUCGAUCAGAUCCCUUCAUGUCAUGGAUAAUAGCUCAUCUCUCUUAAUAGAGCUUGCUGAAUCGUGGUGGCCAUGACGGCUCUCCUAGCUUUGGAAAGAAGGCCUCCCUUUCAAACAGGACCUGCAAGGAGCCCAACACCCUCAUCAACGAACCCCAAAGAACUGGGGCACAGCAGAAGGCGUAGGCAAACAAUGACAAGGCCCUGACAAUACCAUCAGAAUACAAAGGGAAUGCCAUAACAAAUAGAGCACCAAAGAUCCCCAUCCAGGGUGCAAGGACAGGGACUGGUGGGAGCAUGAAGAGAUUGAUUACUAUAGAAGCUAGAGCUGAUGAGCCAAACAAGUAGAGAGACCAGCCUAGAAACGGGUGCACGGCACGAGGGAUCAGGAAGAAGGGAAUGGUGUAUGCUGCUAAUAUGGACCAUAAAGCAGCCACCUUGAUCAUGGUGUGUGAGAAGGUGAAGCUCCUCUUCUCAGCUCGCCGGUUGUAACACAGCUUCAACAAGCUGGGCCGUGUCAUCUGGGUAACUGCCAUGACCCCAAGAUACAGUACAGACUGGAUCAGUAUCACCGGCAACUCUAAACUGUACCUGUUCACAUAUAUGUGAAGGAAAACCAGAAACAUAAUGUUAGGUUUCAAGCUCCAUAAAGCAUUGCAUGGUGCAUGUUUUAGCUAGCAAUCUGGUCAUGUUCCCUUCCUAAUCACAUUACAUGCGUCUUUUCAAAAACCAGAAUCACAACCAGUGAUAGCCUUUAAUGUACAUGUCCAUGAAAUCUUGACAGUUUGCAGGAUUAUGAGGCUUGUGACUUACCCAAGAGUUUUUCGACGUUGCUCGUGCCAAGAAAAGCCUAAAGGCAGGACUGGCCAAGACCACCAAUACCAUGGCUUCAACCAUGGUGCACUAGGGAAAGUAAUUACACUGUUUGGUCCACAUGGUAUGCUCCAACGAAGCUUGAGAUCUGUAGCAGUAAAAAGCCCAAAGGAUUGUCUCUGUGACAUAUAUUAUCAGGUAAUGGGAGAAAACAAGAAGGCUAGGUUAUGGUAAUUACAGUAGUAGGAAGCAUCCAUCUGGUAUCCCAAAGGAAGGCGAUACAUGCCAUCUAGCUUGGAACCAUUGGAAGGUGGAUGAAACAUUGGACGGUCAAGCAAAUCUGGGAAGUAGCUGGUGAGGAAGCCCUGAUCUGCACCAUCUGGAUUUUCUCGUCCAGUUUCUAAGUCAUGAAACAUGCUUCUGAAGACCUCCAUUGAAGGCUGCAGCUCCAAUAGAAUAAAUUGUAUCAGAGAAUUCAAAGCAGCACAAAUUAGUUUCUCAACGGAACAUGCAGGGCACGAAGUCCAUAGAAGGUGUGAGCACAAUAUUGACAUAUGCAGGAAACCAAUUGUCCAGGGAAACAAAACUAAAUGGACUGGAAAGUUUUUAUUAUGAAAAGCAGAAACCAUCAAUUUAUCAAUUAGUAUGAGAAUCUUAGAAAACAAAAAACUUUAUUGCAAGGGCCCAUGCUAUUGCAACAAAGUAGAACUGAAUGGGUUUCCUUGUAAUUUUGGGAUCAAAUCUGAAAGUUAUGUGGUUUUAGGAAUCAAUCUUGAGAGUUAUUACAAUCAAAGGUCAAAUUCUAAAUCCAUGUUGAGGACCUUGAAUAAGACUCCAACAAAAGGAAUUGAAAGAUGUCAAAGAGUGCAAAGGUAAUGGUCUCUUUAGGUAGAUGAAUGCCUGAAGAAUGAUGUAACAAUUUAGGACCUCAUCCAAAAUGGCUAGCUGGAAGAUAUUAUUUGGGUUUCUUGAUCCUAUAUAAGUACCCAAGAUCUUUCCAGCGAAUAAUCAACGUGGGACUAAACACACGCCCGCAUGGGUCCUCACAGAUGAGGUAUUAAUUUUCGAGUUAUUAACAAGAUGCAACACAACAUUGUAUUGGAAUGUUUGUAGAAAAAGAAAUGCUCUGGAAUGUUUGUACAAAAGAAAUGCUCGCAUGUUUCUGCAGAACAUAUCUACCAUUAUCACUGAACAAGCUGCUUCAAUCAUUUCAUCUUUGGGGUAACCUUUGUGUUGCCAAAGCUCAGGCAGGCCACCAGCUGGUCUCACAGUAGCUGGUCUCACAGUGUGUCUUGCAGCUUGCAAAGCCUUCAGAGACCUGAGUCCUUUUCUUAAGUUUGCUUCUGUUGUAGUUCUUUCUUAAUGUCGUUUUCCUUUCUCCUCUCUUAUACUAUAUAUAAGCUUUCUUCAAAAAAUUGUGGGGAAUGAUCGCCCUCCCUCUUCUCCAUUCAAAGAAAAACAAAAAGAAAAGCAAAGACGCAGCACGUAACAGUAUAAUCCAACCACAAGAGAACAUCCAAAUAGCUCUAUUUCUGACAAUCCAAAAUCCAUUCAAAGGGCAGCGAACUUUAAAGUUCUUCGAUAGAACAUACUGGAAAGCAAGCAAGUGGCAAGGGAACAUUGCACCUGAAGAACAAAGAGCCCAGUGUGGAAGAUGCAGGGGUUGAUGAAGACAGCACAGAACUGACCACACUGGAAGAGCUCAUCGGUUCUUUGAAGGAAGAGGUUGUCGGAGUCGAGCAUGACAACCCGGUCAUACGCCACUAGGCUCCAUGCAUAAAGCUUGUUCAGUGUCAACUUAAACCUGGAAUUGAAGUUGUCCUGCUUCUCAUAUGGAUUUUUCAAGUUCUCCACCGUAACCACUUUCACACCAUCCUCUUUCCUGUUAAUAUAGAUCAGCAACAAAUCAGAUCCAAAUGGAACUUAAAACAGUAAUUCUGAAUCUGAUUCUGAAAAUUCUGAGUCAUGGAUAAUAAGAAUUAUCUUCUCAUCUUACAAUAUUAAUAAGAAUUAAUACUAAUUAUAAGUUGCACUGAUCAAGAACACAGUGGUGCAGUAACACAUAUAUUUUAAGCAUGUAACAUAUCUGUAAUGAAGUUGAGUAGGGAUUUUUUAUAUAUUCUGUAAGAUCGAGUUUUGUUGGUUAGACCAACAUGGGUUUGUUUAGUUGUUUUGAACCAUGGAUCUUCUGAAGGGCAAGCUUUUAGAAGGGAUGUGCCAACCAACUAAGCCACCAAUUGUUGGCAUAAAUAUAUUUCCUGAGGUAAAUGUAUAUAAUAGAAUAUAACAAUUAAUUGUAUAAUUAUUAGCUUAUUAGUAAAAAAACAAACAAAGAACAUGCACGGGUUAUCAAUUGUCAACAACCCACAUAGAAUUAAUUAAAAACUGUGCAUAAAUCAUCAUUAACACCACAAGAGACAAUUAAUUAAAUUUGCAACAUGUUUGGUUAUGUCAAGGAAUUGUACUAAUUCGGCUCAUAUCCCAUAUAAUCUAUGGACGCUGUAAAUUUCAAACAAUUAAGAUUUUUGGGUUCAAGCCCAAAUCAAAUGAUCACCGGUAAGAUUAGACCCAAUUAUUAUCACGCAAACAGGGGAUUUAUCCACCCAGUUGCAUCAUAUUUCGUGAAAGGGCAUUUCCGUUAAUUUGGAGAAAACCAGGGGUAUAUUCAGAGCCGCAAAAUAGCAGCAUAUCCUUGUCGGUUUCCAGAAAGGAGAAACAAAACCUGAAGUCAAAAUCUUUGGACUCACGGGUAAAACGCCGCGUGGAUUUUAAGCCACGGCAAAAUAACCCCAUAUUUUAAAAAAUUUAAAAAGAAGUUCCAAAAAUUUGUCCCCACUACAACCACCAGAAUUACGAAAUCACUACGCCAGUCAUUUAAUUCCCAAGACACUGAAAAACAACGCACAGUGGCGAUUUCGUGGAUUACUGGAAUCCAAAGGCUUCAAAUAAACAACCUUUAAAGCUCGAGAUUUUAAGAAGGCAAAAUUAAUCUGUACGAAACCGAAGAGUCCACGUGAUCUCAGCCGUCCGAUCACAACUAAUCUCGAAUAAAAUUCCAAAUCGACGCAACCUCACCUUAAGAACAAAAAACCGUAAAAAAAUUCCAAAGCGAGAGAAUAAGCGGGAUAAGAAUAAAGAGCGGUGGGAAUAAGGGGAUGGGAUUGCGUACAGGGAUCGAGUCCAUGGGAUGGGGACGUCGGAGGAGGCGAUGACGACGAGGUCGGCGUCGACGCGAAGCUUGACCAGAGAUCGCAUCAUCACCCGCGUCGCCACGUAGAACUCGUAGUCCCUCGGCGUUCCCAUGUACAUCAUCGCCGCAUACGCGUGUCGCCGCCUCUUCCCCUCCGCCGCCGACACCGCUGCCGCAAGCACCACCGCCACCACCGCCACGAGCCCUAAUCGCCUCCCCAUCUCCUCCCCACAAACGAAUUCAAGACGCACAGAAAACCUAAGCGGAAGCUGAUACGAGCUCCGAUCUCGUCCUCCGACGCCGCCGAUCCUCCUCUACUCCCAUUCCCCCGAUCUCCACCACCGCAAGAGGGAGCGCAGGGCGAGAGAGAGAAGAAGAAGGGGAGGGGAGAGGGAGCGACUGCUCUCUUCAGAGGAAGCGCCUGAAAAGAACUAAUUUGUAAUAUAAAAAGGAGAACUUUGCAUGAAGGCCCCUGGACAGUUUCAUAUUUACGUAAAAAAAAAGAGAUGCUUGGUCCUUAAGUUUUGGUUUAGGUUGGACCACAUGAUUGGCAUGAUAAGAUUAAUGGCACAAGUUAGCCUGCAUUGUUUUUUCUUUUUUUUUCUUUUGAUGAAAGUUAGAGUGUGUUGUUACAUGCAUAUUGGAUGUUCUAGAAAUAUUUUGUUUAAAGUAUGAUCGGUAAGAUGAUCAAGUUCUUCGCAAUGAUUACUUAAAAUAGAAGUAUUUGUUUACUUAUGUUCGUAUGGCUAACCGGACUUAAUUUAGGUUAUCGGCCAUCCUUGGUGUUUUUAUGAAGAAUAAUACCUAAUUUAUUCUUGUAUCUCAUUAUUUAUAUUUGAUUAUACACACAUGCACAUACUCAUGCAUGUAUCCAUGGAUUUGUAAUACAAUCAUUGAAUGACCUUACCACAAAGACAAGUUGGCGCCCUCAAAUAUAUUAGAUAAUAUUUCAAGGAUAUGCGCCUUUGUAACAAAAAGUUUUGCAUUCAAAAUUUGCAUCCCAAAACUCUUAGGCCCAAAUCCAUCCUUCAGUGGGGUAUGGAGGGCACAAGUAUUUGAGCUAGAGCUCUCCUAUUAGGGUUGUUGCCCAUAAACUUCUUUCUACCCCAAACAAAAGAAAAGAAAAAGAUUUAACCUUUUUAAUUAGAUUUAAAAGACUAACAUAUAUUCCUUUUGGAAUAUCCCAUAAACGUGUAAAACAAAUUGUUUAAUAUACCCUCAAUGCAUAAUGUAGGCUACUUUAGUAGUGUGUAUAGGCUUAAAUUAGUAUAUGAUAUUAGGGCUCGUUUGGUUCGCGGGAAGCAUUUUCCCCCUAGAAAUAUGAUUCCUGGGAAGAAGAUUCCUAGGAAGAGAAUGCCUGGGAAUGUACUUUUGGCAUGUUUGGUUUAACAUGGAAAAGUAACAAAUUUUUAGAGUGCUUAUGUUUGGUUGACCAUCCACUUUCUUGGGAAAGUUAUGUGUAAUUCCCAUAAUACCCUUAAUAAAAGUUAGGUCUUUAAUGCCUAUUUAAUGNNNNNNNNNNNNNNNNNNNNNNNNNNNNNNNNNNNNNNNNNNNNNNNNNNNNNNNNNNNNNNNNNNNNNNNGAUGGAGUGAUUCCCGCCUCAUGGGAAAGUAAUUUUUCCAUGUUUCUCAUGGAAAAGACUUUCCCAUGAAAUGUGGGAAUCAUAUUCCCAUGGGAAUACAAUUUUUCCAUCUCUCUCCUUUGAAAACUCCAACCAAACAAGGGCAUUUUAUUUUUUUCGUUGACCACACUUUUCCCCCUUAUUUUUCUGCGAACCAAACGAGCUCUUAAUUUCUAACGUUGGACAGAUUGGUUACAAUGUGUUUGUCGUUUAUAUAUCACAAGUUUUACUCAAGUAGAAUAGUGGACAUUAGGAAAAUAUUUCUUUUUUCAUUGAUAUACUUGCACAUAUAAUCAAGUGAUAGUGUAGAUGUAACCGUUUUAUAACUAAAUAUCAAGUGAAAGACAGAAAAUUAUUCAGGAAAUAGGAAUCAUGCAACCUAGUAGACUACAGAAUUAGUUACAGAAUUAAGUGAUUUCUAAUAACCCAACUUGAUUAACUUAAAAAUGACUGGAUUUAAAAGUUUUGAUGGGAUCUGGUGUUCUAGAGUUGGUAUGAUCACACAUCUUGAUUAACUUCAAAAUGAUUUGGAUUUGUUUCUUAAUAAAAAAAAGGAUUGUAUAAUCUUGGCAAAAUCAAUCAUAGAUAUUCUGGUGAAAAAAUAAAUAAAUACAAGUUCCGACAAACUUAAUUUAGAGAUAUAGUUUCACUCGAUGUGCAACAUUGAUAAGUUUCGCUUGGCUUGCACAAUGAUUUAGUCCAGCCUAACUCACCCACCAUACUUCAACAUUAGCAUUCGGCAUGUAUGGUGCAUGAGAGAAGUAUGGAUAGUAAUAAUCUUUAUAUUUUUGAUAAAUAUAAUUUUAAUUUUUGAUCGGCACGCACCUUCAUUGAGAAUAGAGAAGAGUUAGAACUUAUUUUGAGGGGAAGAUUUUGAUAUUUUCUCUUAUUUUGUCCUUGCUAGACUAAGAAUUUAUAUCCAUUUAAAUCUAAUCACAGAAGCCAUGAUAGGCCGGUGGCCAACCCUGAUGGACCCAUGCUACAGUAUUCCCUAUUCUAUAUAACCAUAGGCCGGAUCCGCUUUGAUACUAUUUUGUCGCAACUCAGAACCCCACUCAAAAAGACUAAUUGGAAGGUAUUAUUUAGAUUCCUUAAUUCUGUAUAAGUACUCAAGAUCCACCAAGCGAAUAACCGAUGUAGGACUAAACGCAUAUCUGCACGGGUCCUCACAUACUCCUUUUAUUUAAACCCUGAUGUCCUCGUUAGGCUAAGAAUCCAAAUCUAUUCAAAUUUAAUCACAAGCACAACGAUUGGCCCGUGGUCGCCUUAAUGAGCCUGUGCUGCAGUGUCCUCUAGUCCAUAUAGGUUAUAAGCCGGAUCUGUUUUGAUACUAUUUUAUUUGCUAAGAUCUCACUCAAAAAAGAUAGCCGAAAAGUAUAUGCCGCUACACUUUGAGAUAAAAAUGGUUAAUCUUCUAUCUCGCAUGCAUUAUUAAGAAAUAUUCUUUAUUCCAUGCAAGAAAACACCAUGUCCAUCCUAAAAGGCCCAAAAGAGUUUUUUAGACAUGCUAGCUUCAAAUUAACACUAUAAUCUUCGUGUGUUGCACCAAAAUACAAGAUUUAUCUUCUUUCCAAGGAUGUCAUCAGUAGAUGUUAGCUCACCUAGCUUUUACCUUCCUCUCCAUAUAAGAGAUCUCAGUUUCAAAUUAUGGUGGCGACCUAUUCUCAAAAAAAUUCCUUCCAAAAAUGUUUUGGAGUACAAGAACCUCUGUAAGAUUAAUGGUGGAUUUUUUCAGAUUAUUUUCACCUAGGUAUCACUAUAUAUAUUCAUAAGAUUCAGUUUAGAUUCCUUAAAGAUAACUGUUCCAAUAAUCUGUGGGAAGAAAGGGUCAAGGAAUAUCCUAUCAUCAUGAUGGAGAUGUGUCCGCAUGCCUGAUGAAUAGAAAAAAGGUCGCCAUGCAACCAUGGUUUUAUUAACAUGGCAUCUUCCUAAAUAUCAAUGAAGCUUCUCGGAUAUGACAAUUACAAGACUAGAUAUAAUAUAGGCGUGCAAAAGAUGGGGAUGCAAGGAUGGAUGCAUGCCAAGCUAAAAUAGAGAGAAUCAUUCAAAAGAAUGGCUAAGAAGGACAACAGAAGGGACAAAGUCAAUGACAAAUUAUUUUAAAAAAUGAAGGCCAAAAAACGCUUAUCAAUAGUCACCAAUAUCUACCAUGAAAACCAUUCCUAUUUUUAUUUACAACAUAAAGAGCAUGGUGUUUUUUUUAUCUCUUUUUCUUUCGAUUGGAAGAGAGACAAAACCACCUGAUUUAUUAAAGAAGAGAAGAAAAGUAUGAGACAAGCAUCUAAUAGGAUAUCUUAGAUUAUUUCGUAUCUAUGUGUCCGUAAAUUGUGACAAGAUUAAAUCCUAGAGUAAUAGCAAGGAUAGUGAGGGAAUAAAGAACCAAAAGUUAUCCGUGGUGCUACUCGGAUUUGAUGACUUUCGGCGCAAAAAGACAAGCAUCCUGGUCGGGAAAUAAUAAAGAGUGGACAAGCAUGAAAGAGAAAAAGAGCGGCUGUUCCGGAGAAGAAGAUGGAGGUCUAUGUUCGCUUUCUAUUUGCUUUGCGUCUGUGCUUGGUUAUGGGAAUAAGAAAAGUGGAAUAAGAAUAAUUCUGCUUAUUGAAAUAGUUAUAUUCCAUUUCUAAUUAUUGUUCGACUAUGAUCCUUGAAUAAUUUUUGAUAGAAAAUGCUUUUGUUACUUGAAAAGUGGGAAGAAAGAGCUUUAAAUAAGAAAUGAUUUAUGACAGCUUUUUCUUGGAAUGAUUAUUUUGCCCCUAUCCAUUUUUUUAAAUACACCAAAGAGUGGAAGGGUAAUUCAGUCCUUAUGAUCAAAAUUAGUGAGGUAACCGAUGCAUUGAUUUAUUCUCUCUCUACUUUUUUUCUCCAACCAAAAGUCGAAAGAAAAUCUAUCCUGUGGAAUAGCUUAUCCCUUCUACACUACAAGGGGUAUCCCUUCAAAACUUAUUCCCUCUACCAAACACGCAGCCUAUCCUCAAUGGGUACUCUUAAUUGCAGGAUAAGGGGGUAUAAGGUGGUUAAAUAUUUUAUGUUUGGAUAAAUAAUUUUUAUCCAUGAUUACAUUGUGCCAUAGUGCAACUAACAUUGCGAUGACUAUUUUUGGAUUAGAAGACUAAUACGGCCUUAACUUUUUGGUUGCCUUUUGCUAAUAAAGGAUCACUUUGAUCCUUCCAAACAUAUGGAUGGGAUAGGCUACUUUAAGCAUAGGAAUGUUGUCCCCUCCUCCUUGACAUGGACUACUUGAGCAUCCUCCACCAUUGUUAUGAUACCCAUCAAAUUUUAUGUUUGUUGCAGAUUAUAUACUUAUAUUCUAUGUCACAAGCUCAAAACACAUCAAAAUGGGGAGGGAUGCAAAGAUUAAAAAAGAAGAUAGCAACAUAAAAAGCAUGCAAAGCAUGUGUGAUUGCAAAAUAAUAUACAGUAGAAUUGUCUUCACCGAAGUAGAAUAAACUACGUUCUACUGGAUGUAUUCGUACCCGCAUGGCAUGAUACACCUGUUUCAGCAAAAAAAAAAAAAGUAGAAUAAACUACCUGCCACUUUGGAGGAAUGAGAUCUAAUGCCAAUGGGACAGGAUGCCCUAGUUCAUCGCUACUGUGUUUUUAUGGAAAAGCUCAUCGAUGCAGUAAACCAACAUAAUUAUCAUUGUGUUUUCUCCACCAUAUGCAUAUUAUGCAAAUAUAUUUCAGCAGGUAAGGCAAAAAACAAUGAACUUCAUAAGCCAGUUUCCAGGAAUUUUUAUUGUGAGGCUUCGUGCGGAGAAAGCAGCAGCUCCCAAAAGAAACUAGUUGGUUCAAAGUGGACAAAUCAAAGUGCUCCAGCAGUUGCAGAGAUCAGAGGGCAGCUUCAGUGUGUGCAUGGUAGUAUCUCGCAUGUCCAUUGCCAUGGCUGAUCAGUAGAAUAUUUCACUUCUGGGCCUGGAACAUCCUUUGCAUGGGAAGCCUUCAAUAAUUCAUAUGCAUGAGAGAGAGAGAGAGACUUGAAUCAAUGUUCAUGUUCUGUAAUCACAUUCUGUUGAGUCAUCCUGGCCCAGUCACAAGGCCAUCAAUCAGGUUUUGCCUGCCAUCAUCAGCCAUCCAGAUCAUCUUCGCGCGGUACCACCCAUCAUUCAGGUCUUGCAUAAAGCUUCACCCAAACCAUUCGUGUAAAACUUGCUUGCCAAUCUAGAAGGUUUAACAAUGAAGAAGAUAUUCUCAGUAGGUAUGAAUAAAAUAAUGAAAAGAUGAAAAUGUUUUCAAAUAGAGAUAAGCUAGAGUAAAAAUGGCAUCCCCUGAUUCAACAAUUCAGCAUGCAUGCAUGCAUGCAUGCGUGGAAGCACGAAAGGAGGUUGAUGUCCCAUAAGAAUUAAUAUAGGAGUUAAUGAAGCGAAAUUAGCACUUCUAAAAUCAGUAUGAUCACCAUUCAUUAAAGGGGAAAAAUAUCACUAUGAUCAUUACAGGAGAACAAUCACAAACAUAUCCUAUUAGAAAUCAUAAAACAAUUUUUUUUUAAAGUCCAGCAUUGCAUCUGCCCUUCACUAGAUGGAGGUUGACUAAAAUUCGGGUUCAGUAUUUUUUUUAAUUGUAGAUAAACAAGAAAAUUUGCUCUGCAUUCCUCUACAAGAACCAUCAAUUCAAUUAAAAAAAAAAAUCAAAAGGCAAAGCACCUUAACUUUCUAGAAACUAUAGUUCAAAGGCAAAUUAUUUAAAAAACAGCAUUCUUAUACAUAUAUUAUCGCAUGCAGCCCAAAUGUGCACAACAGUUCAAUAGGCCAUCUCCUGGAUGGACGAUAAGCCUGAAAAUCAUAUUGAAUGGCUGAUCCUAUCCAUUCGAAACUCGGUAAUAUCAUUGAUCGUUAAAUGAAAUUAAGGCAGGAUGACCAUCAAGUAGUUCGAACACCUGAUAAAAUCAAUUCAGGCACCUGCUAAACCAAGACACAUCUAGCUAUUCUUGGCCAGUGAACCUCGAAAGUUACUUCAUGUAGCAUUGCAGAGCCCAAAAUUUCUGUAAUGAGGAAUUGAUGACAGGAAGAAGGGAAAAGAUUCAGGUGCUCUGAUCUCACCUGGUAGCAUCGUUUAACAGAAAAGCGAAAAACUGGCCACAAGUAUGUCCUCCUCUGGGUCAUACCUGCAGACAAUUUUUUCAGAAUUUAGAACUGCUUCCUCCCAUUUAACCACGUGAAAUACCAUACUAGAGGGUAUCAUUACAGGAAAGAAAUAUUUUCAUUUUAACUGCAGAUACCUGAGCACCGUGCAAAACAAAUCGCACCUUCGAGUGAAGCAAGCCAUCCAAACAGAGGUGAUUCUAGCAACCAGCAAAGUAUGGCAGUCAACCUAAAGAAUAAUAAUUAUGGCAAUCAGGCAAAAUUUGCAACACCUGUGCCUCCCACAAUUAAAAGUGCAGCCAAGCCAGUACCACUCAGACAAGAAAAAUGGCUACUCAUGAUCCAAUAUCACUCCUCAUCAACAAUACUAGGGAUAAUUUUUGGAAGUAGCCUGAAUGUUCCCAUUGAAGUUGGAGCACAAUUACCAGAAAACUGUGAUAUCUCAUUCUCCAGCACAGAGUAAGCAUCAGCAAAAGCCUGAGACCAAUUAUUUAGGUGAUGAGAUAUAAUUCAACAAAUCAUUCUUACAAUAAAAUUAACUUAGAUAUGGUAGACGAAGAUCAUCAGUGUUAAUUCUCAAGUUAGAUGGCCCUAUACAUAUUUUAUGCUAGUAGGUUCAACCCUACUAGCAGGAAUACUCAGUACAGCCAACUGUAUGUAUACAAAGACAUGGAGUCGUCAUUAUCAUGAUCAUCCAAAGCUUUGCCCACUAAAAAUAGGGUCAGCUAUGGAGCACAACUUUUGGCCAAAAAGAUUUGAUAGAAGAAUUAAGCAGACCUUUCAGCCAGUUGUCAACUAGACAUACAACCAUCAAGAAAACGGUGUAAAAUUCUUGACCAAAUCAACUUUAGUCCAGAGAAGUUAGCUGGAAAAGUUUGAAGACCUGAACCUGGAAGGCUGGUCAGAAGAAUAUUGUGUAAAUGUUACACAAAAAUGUUUUGUUUUGUCAACAGAGCUAACCAAAGAGCAACCCUUGGAAUAUACGAGCUAGCUCUGGCCUUAAAUAGUUUUUUCAGACCCUGUUUCAGUUCCACUAAGGUUGCUUGUGAACUGUUUUUAUCACUUAUUUCCAUCAUUUCAAGAACUAUUUUAGUUGAAACUUUUAAACUUCCUCAUUAAGGAACAAUUUAGACAAUUUAGAAUUGCCUCAGUUGGCUGAAAAUGAAUCAUACUUAGAUAUAAGGAUUGGCAAAAAUCAAAAUUUUAGAGCUUAUAUAUGUACAGCAGUGGCACGGAAAGACAUGGGGAAGCUUGGAAUAAUAUCAGAUGUAGCCUUAAAUAGGAAUACUUGGCGAAUGCGGAAUUGUGAAGCCAAACCCAAAAAGUUGGAAAAAGGUUUGGUGCUUAACUGCUUAUGGUUAUGUAUAUUACAGCAGUGUAUUGAAACAUUAAUAACUUCUUGCAACUUGCACAAGAGAAAGUUAACUUGAUCACAACGGUGAUAGCACACUUGCAACAUAUGGACUAGCUUUUCCAAAACAGAUUGGACUAACAAAAUCAUCAAUUCCAUACACAGCAUGAAAAAGAGAUGAAACCAUUUAGCAACAAUUAAUUGAUUACUCAUAUGUAAAUUAGUUACACCAUAAGUAAUAAAGUUAUGAUAAGUUGAAAUGACCAAGCUAUGUGACCCUGUAGUUAUGAUCUCAGAAUUGGAGGAUUGGCCACCCACUGUCAUACACAAACAGAACUUUGCAAUCUAAAACAGGAAAAUAAAAAUAGUUUGGUAACAAUAAAAUAUCCUGUCGGAUAAUUAGGAAAGACUCAGCCCUUUCUGAAGAAUCAAGACCAAUGAACACUGUCUGAGCUGAAUGACAGUUGGCAGAUUUCAGAAACUUUCCUGAAAAAAAAAAUAUGCAGAAAAAUGUCCAAAUUUCAACGACCAUGUUAGUUGAUUAAGGUGCUAGCAUGCAUCAUUUUUGACGACUAUCCUAAGAGCCUCUUCUUUUUUGUCACAUUAGGGCCACUAGGUAUAUACCAAAGAUUGAGCAAAUAUUUGGAAUGACAUCACCUAAAGCAGAGCAACAAUAUUAUUAUCUUCUUCUCCUUAUUCCCAGAAAAAUUAAGCUGCCAAAAUUGAGACCACAGUCAUAUUACAUGACUAUGGCUUUAAGAAAUCUAACAAAUAAUGGAUGAAGUAGUGAAUAUUCAACUAACCUUAAUGCACUGGUGUAUACGAAAGCAAUUCCUCCCUACAUUGUUAGCCGGACAGAGAGGAUCAUCGAUAUGAAUUGGAUCAAUGCUGCAAAACUCACAUAACGAAAUGAUUCAGAUAUUAGCAUCCAAUAAAAAUAUAGGAGGUCAUGUUCAAUCCUAUAAGUGAUUCUCAAACCUGAGCCCUCUUUCUCGAUUCAUAUAAACUCCACUUCCUUGAAUUGAAAUACGCAUUUGACGUGGGUCAAAAACAUUCCUAAAGUCAUCAAAACAAAAUAUGAUGUUCAGUGAUACAUUUGACUCUCCGACUAGCCUGAAACCAGCUAAUUGAAUCAUACAUCAAUCUUGCAACACAGUAGAAACUAAGUUGCCUAUCUCUGUAUAUAGCUAAAAAGAAAUUGCAAGCAAUUUUCCCUCACCCAAAGAAGUAGAGAAAAUCCAUCAAAAGGCUACCCAGGUUCUGCAAACAACAAGUGAUUUAAAUCAUACAGCUGAAGUUGAAUAUGAAGAUCAUUAAAUGCGAAGAAUUAAAACCACAGUCAAUCAGGUGCAUAACAUAUACUUAAAUUUGUAGCCAGUGGCAGACAAGCAGGAAAACAGAAACAAACAAGAAAAGUAAACAUGAGUAUUACGUAGCAGUUAAGUUGUUGUCAUCUCAUCUUUGUGCCAUCCAUGGAUACAAAAAUUACAUAUCAUCAGACACCAAAGGUUAGGUUUUUUUUAAAAAAAAGAAUCAAACAACUCAAUAUAACCUAGGAGAAAUCUGCCUUUCUUUGCAAAAACCUUGCCUCUUUACCUUAGAAGCCUUGUCACCAAGGAUCCAGCAACUUUUGUUCUGUCGUUUUGAUAUUCUAACUCAUAGCACAGCAUUUCUUCUACUCAGAACCACCAGCUCACAUAAAAUCAUGUUAUAGAUGCACAUUUUGCACCCCUUGCCACUGGCGAAAGGAGUUGUCUAUGGAUACUCUCUAAAACAUGGAGCGGAUGCAAAAGUGACUUAAUAAUAAUCAGCCUCCCACGAAGAAACAGAAGCUUGGCUUUUUAGUUAGAAAAGCACCUCAUGCCUAUCAUAUCUCAAACAGUCAUGUCCCAAAUACCUCAUCCAAGGCAAAGGCCCAAGUAGAACAUGCAAAAUUUUCUCCAUAGAACUGAAAAACUGCUCCAUGAGAAUGAAUUAUCACAUAGAAAAAGAAACAAGCAGAAGUCCAGUAUUUUAGUGCUUGAGAGCUUCUUAUCAUAUACUUUCCACUGUGUAUAUAUAAAAAAACUUUUCAGAUCUAGCAUGAUGCUAACUACGAUAUACAAAUGGAACUUAUAAAUUACCCAGUUCCAAAGGAAAUCAAUCAUUGGUUCAAUGUUGGAGAUGGACAUGUGGAUAGUAACAUAAAUAAAGUAAUUAUACAGACUGGUGUUUGAUGUCAAACCAUGCUCAGCAAACCAUUGGAAUUACAUGCAUGGACAAUUAGAUAUAUAGAACACCAUCAACAGCGGUGAAUUAUUUCCCUUACUAUUGUAGCUAACAAAAAGGUACGAGCUUUACCUGGUUAAUAGGCCGACCAAUAUGGUAUUCAUGCUGAAGAAAGCGUAUAAUUAGCAACACCUGCACAAAGUCCAUAACAACAUAUUAGGGCAAUUACCACCUUAAUACAAUAUAUAUUGAGUAGUUUUAUGCCUCUUUUCUAAUAAACAGCUAAACUCUGCAUUGCAUUAGCUCCCAAAAAAGAAAAAACAUUUUUGUUUAGAUCAAGGUCCGCCGUACCGGUACCGGUCGGCGUACCGGUGGCGGGCCGGACCGGUACGGUACCGGUCCGGUCCGGUACGUACCGGCCGGUAUCGGUACAGUACCGGCCGGUACCGCGAGCCAAAAACCACAGCGCCUCGCGCUGUGGUUCAUAAAAAAAAAAAAUUCGUACCGGUGCGAACCGGCCGGUUCGCACCGGUAUGAGGCCGGUACCGACCGGUACGGGCUCCGUACCGGCCGGUUCGCACAAGAAAACCGGAGAUACCGGUUUUCUUGUGGUUCCGGUACCGGUCUAGGACCGGACCGGCCCGUACUGGCCGGUACGGGCCGGUACGGCAUUCCAUGGUUUAGAUCAUUGAGGAGUUUAAAGUCUGUUCAGUUGCAUGAAAAUCCAUGGAAAAGGAAAUGCGAGGCUUUUCCACAGGAUUUUUUUUUCUGAGUUCUGGCGAUAAACUUUCCAAACUUAUCAUUUUUUCCAGUUGAAACAAACAAAAAGAAAACAAGAAUCUCCUAGAAAAAUAAGUUUUCCAAGCACUUUUCCUUGCAACCAAACAAAUCUUAAACAAAAAAUUAAGGAUAAAAAUUGAUUAUUGUCCAGUCCAAGACUUACACUACCUCAGGAAUUCAUGAACCAUGAUUUAUGUUAUGGUGAUGUCACAAAGCAAAAUUAGGUUCCCAUAACAACAAACUGUUCAUGUGUCCAGAAAGAGCUAAAAAUAUUUCAAAAUAAUUACAAAGAUAUAAAAUGUUCGAAGAGUUAAUAGGAACAUUUUAAAAUGUAGAAUAUUACCAUCAGUAACAAGACUUUUAUUCAAAUAAAGGACAGCAUAGAGGCUUCACAGGCAUUAUUUUUUAGAUCACAUGCUCUGAAUCUUUUUUAGCGAUGUUACUCUUAAUGCUUGCCAUUCAACUAAUGUGGUUAGAUCUCUUUAUGCUAAACUAUUGAUGCAGUGACGCAGUCAGAUACAAAGAGAGAUAAAAAGGGGCUUGGAGCAGACCUAUUUUGGGUCCUAAACAAGGUCAAAUAUCCAGAAAAUAAUUCUGCAGAUCUUUGAAAAAAGAAUAGCAUGUAAAAUAUGGCAACCUGAUAUAUUUUGUAGUUUUAUAUUUGACAGAGCACUUGACUAUGAUUAUGCGAGGUUUGAUGGACCACAUCCUCAUAUCUUUAUCUAGCCUUCAAGAGACCUGAUUAAAUAUCAUAAAUCCUCAUUGCUCUCUCAUCCAUCUAGAAUACAUUAUUGUGUUUCUUUCAUCAAUUCCUUAGCACAGAGGCAUAACAAAUUGAUUGUUCUGAUCUUAAGUUUUCCUUCCUAGGCUACUAGUAAGACUCUAAACAGUGUUACUACCAGUAACUUCUAACUGAACGGAAAAUUAUUGAUAGAUUUUGUGGAGUCCAAUUUUCCUACUCCACUUCCAGUCAUGACACACUCUUUAUUCUUAUGAUUUCCAACUUUCAUCUACUACUCAAGGUCAGACUAAGGCCAUUAAGUAUACUACUGAUCAAAGACCAACAGAGGUGGACAACUCCAGUCUUCAGCCUUUAGCUACCCAUUCGAGUCAGAGGUCCAAGCAAUGACAAUUCAUCAGUUUGGUAAGCAAGCAAGCAUGUAAAUAGUAUCUUAUUUCAAAUUGUGCCCUCCAAGCAACAACUCUCCACAUAAGAUUCCUUUAUAGUAAGCAGAGGUUAGAGUGUUUUUUUUGGGUAUAUGCAGUUAAGCAUUCCCUUUAUGGAACCAUUGACAGGCUCAGAAACCAGAAUUGGUGACCGAGGCAAAGACAUAUGGUGUGAGUGAUAUGUAAAUGAAAAAUGAAGUGAUACAAGCUAAGAGGACUAGGGCUUUUUUUUCUUUUUUUUGGGUUGGGUGGGAGGCUUGACCUUUCUGCUAAGUCAAAAAGAUAACUGAUUCUCCACUUAAGAACAAUAAUAUCAGAAAAUAUAAAAAAUAUUCAAGGAAAACUAACAGCACAAAAUUAUUGCAGUCCAAUUGAACUUUUUUCAUGUUCAUUGGGAAAUUAUUUUUUUUAAUAGAAUGGCAAAGAAAAUGCAGCAUAACUUACCAAACAGUAAGAACUCAAAGCACCCGAAUAAGACUGGUCCAAACUACGAUCUGACAAAAACUUCUUCAGUAUCAAAGCAAGGGGUCCAGCAGCAGGAAACUGCUGAGUGAGCUCUCUAACCUGCAAAUUAAAAUUAAUAUUGAAUUUAUGCUAGACAUAAUAAUCAUUGUUAUGCCAUUACAAACUUUAAUGGUCAUCCUUCACACUUCAUUUGUCUGAAGGGUCAUAUCUAUACAUGGCAUGACCAGGUACAGAUUGACUCCAGUUGCUUCAGGUUCUCUAAGUGCUUUAAAGCUCAUGGCAUUACUAGGUCCCAAUUGAGUCCCCUGUUUGGGUCAAAUGUCAAAUUGUCAAAUAACAAAAUAGAUCAACAAGCUAUUGCACCACACUGGAAUCAAUGCCUUAUUGACGAAGGCUUGGGAGUACACCAUAACCAACAUAUUCAAAACUCCAUCAAACAACAUAAAUAUUGUUAUUAUGUAUACAACAUUAUCUCUGUCUCAAGCUGUCCACAGUCAUCAUCAACCCUGCCCCUCCAACCACACCACUCAGCCUUCCCCUCCCCUCUCUUUCUCCAAAUGAGCAAGAAAAUGAUCCCAUAGAUACCCAACAACCACCUGGUUUCUGACCAGACACCUGAUUUAUCAUAAGUCCCUCGUUACAGACGUGUAGUCCACUAUCAAAUACGUCUCUCUCUCUCUUUCUCUUUAAAUGAGACCGAAACAACCCAACUGAAUUCAAUAGCUAUCCAGUAGCCAAAUCAAAUCCACUAUCAAAUGUGAUGUAGGAUUGUAAUUUAGGUUUGAGUUUGGGUUCCCAAUUGAAUUCAAUAGCUAUCCAGUACCCAAAUCAAAUCCACUAUCAAAUAUAAUGUAGGAUUGUAAUUUAGGUUAGAGUUUGGGUUCAAUUAUGGUUAGAGAUGGAACAGGCCCUAAGCUGGCCUCUGCCCACCCCUAGAUAUGGUAAUGGUGCCUAAGAGUGACUGACACUCAAGCUUAGGCUCCAUAAUCUUUAAUAUUCAUUAAGUUCAAACAAAUUGAGCAUGCAUUGUCACCCACUUAACCUAUAGAGAUAUGGGUUCAGUAAUAUAACAAUCUCUUCCUCCAUAUAAUUUAAUAAAUAAAUAUUCAUAAAAAAUCCAAUCACAAAACAAUUAAAAGUCCAUAAGUUGGUAAUGAAGCAAAAAUUGGAUUUAUUACAUCAAAAUAGUUUUUUCAUUACUUAAAAAGUAUAUGCCAACUGAGAAAAUCAACUUGCCUAGAUCAAGUCCAACAUUUUAGUUUGUACCAUAAAUUCUCGACUUCCACUAAAAAACAAAGAAAACUUAUCCAGAAAAUAAAAGAAAAACACUAAAAGUUCACCUCAAGCCAAUUUGUCAGGCCAUCUAAAGUGUAGCUCACCACAUAUAGUCACAAAUAUGUUCCAAAAACACAGACAAAACUAUAGUAUGACAAAUAGCAUUCCCUUAAUUGCAUACUCAAAAAGCGUAAGACCUCACAUCUAAAAGAAGGAAGAAAAUCCAACAUAAAAAAAGGAAACGAACUUAUCUGCAAUCAACAAAUUAAAAAAUGUUGAAAAGCUAUGGAUUACCAGUUCAGAAGUUUCAAGUCCUGUGUGUGAUGGUGACUUGAAGCUGAUAUCAAGACGAAUUGAUUUCUCAUCAACAGCAACAUCCUUUUUCAUUUUUGAACACAUUGGCCAAGAGGUAUUUGCUGAACUAGACAGAUCUGGACAAGGGAUGCUUUGCUUUCCAGGCAUCUUGGUUGAAUGUGCUUCUGGUGUCUCCACAAUGGAAGAAUUGUCAUUUGAAAGACUAAUGUCAUGAGGAACAUCUGCCACAAGCAUGAUGACAGGUAUCUGGACACCACAAAUUUUGAUAAAGUACAUAAGUUGACAGUGAGAUGAGAGAGUCCAAGUGUCAAGAAAAGAAAGAAUUGGAAUUAUUUUAAGAAAAAACAUGAGAAAGAACGAGGCAUAACUGCAGUGUUUUCUAUUGUUUUUAGGGAGUCAUUUCUAACCCACUCUUGGUUUGCAAGGUACCUAGCUGCAUGCUGGAACAAAACCAGAAGAGUAAGCAGUACGUGAGAAAAGCCACAGAACAGAUUCUAAUGAGAAGCAUUACUUCAAGGAAGCAACAAACAGAAUCUCAAAAUUCUAUUCACUUCAGCAACAUAGUCAAUGGCUAUAUCUCAAAAUUUUCAACUAAGCUACACCUAGGGAAAGACACAGGUGUCCUGACAAUUGUUAUCCAUAAUCUAUCAUUUCUCAAAAAUGUAGUAUCAUGGUUCUAUGGAAAUUAAACUCUCUUCUGUGAGUCCCAGUAAAUGACAAUAUGCAAUGGAAAACUGUGGCCGUAGAGCAUGAAGAGAACAAAUGAUUUUCUGUUAGCGGUUUCCAACAAUCCAAAAUUCUAACCAAAUGUACUAAAUCUUCAAAAUAUAAAAGGUCAGCUGACAUUCUUUAUCGAUUAUCUAUGAAUACUUGUAUCUAUGGAAAAAGUUGAACCUUGAUUUAUAAUUGAGGCAGAAAAUAUAUGAAAAUUCAAAGAAGCAACAAAUGUUCCAAUGAAAAAACAUCUGGAUAUUGAUAAAUUGAGGGGAAAAUAGUACCUCUCAGAAGAGAUUUUUUUUUUUUGGGUACAAACUUCUCAGAAGAGAUCAAACAGAUGAAUUUUGAACAGCUUUAUUCAUCCAGAAAGACCAAAUAAUACAAUGUCAUUGGCCAGUAUAUCCUUAAGAAUAUUUAGCAUAAAGUAAACCAUUAAGGAAAAAUGCAAAGGCUUAGGUCUGCAAGUAAAAAACCUAAAAACUGAAGAAAUGGAUUGAAUUGGACAGAAAUCAACCGUUAUGAAAACUUUCGAUGAAGAACAAUCUUUUUUUUUCAUACACAAGAAAAAUCUAUUUCCGUAUGCCUCUUUGAAUUAAAGCAAAAUAGUAUGCACAAAAUGGGCAUUAAAAAGGCCAUGAUGUAGGAUUUACGAGGUAUAACCACAAAAUCAGGAUCACAAAAGGAUAGUCUUAAUUCCUGGUUUGAUGUGCCUUCAGGUUUCAUGUUAGAGGAAUGGUUAUGAUAAGUAGAUAAUUAUCAACUAGAACGACCACAGAUAUAAACAAUGACACAUAUGCAACAUAACUUGUCUGCACAGAAGCAAAUCAAGCAAGAUACCUGAAGGCAUGUUUCCUUGAUACCAUUGCGACCUUCCAAAAUUCCAGCUUCUGUGAUGGGUUCCUGACAAACAACUGCACUUGUUAAAUUUGAAGUUUCAACAGAAUCAACUGUACACAACAAUGAUGAGGAUUUUUCUUCAACUUAUGGUAUGUUUCUCACCAAAUUCCGUACUGGAGGGAGAGAAACCACGAGGUCCACAUCACUAGUUGGAAGAGCUAAACCAGUUGCAUUGGAACCAAAUAUAUUUGUCCGAGAGCGAGGCCAGAUUACCUGAAGAGAUCGUGUGACCCUCUUGACAGCCCAGUUAGUGUAGGGCUUCCUGAUCAGAUUCUCAGCAGCAACCUUCGAUUUACCAUUAAUGAUGAACCAGCAAUUACCUUGGAGUCAAGAUGAUAAAUACAAACAAAAAAAAAUUAAAAAUGAUAAUGCAUAGAGGAGUUAAAAUCUUGGUAGGCCUAUGAAGCUUAUUUGUGCUAAGGAUGUCUUUAUAUUUUACUAUUCAUGAACUAAUUGUAUAUGUAAGGUUCACUGUUCAACACACAUGCAUCUUGAGUAACGAUAUUAAAUGCCUACGCAAGAGCAACAGUACACAGUAGUGUGAUGUCCAAAGUGGGUAAGGCAAAAUUUAGAAUUUUUGAUAAAUAAAAUUUACAAAAAUUUGUCAAAACUGCCAUACCUGCUUGCAGAAAAGAUCAAUAUCCUCGUGAAGAAGAUUGUGCAUCAGAGACACAGAUGUCUUAUUAGAUGGACAAUUCAAUAAAUCAGGAGGUUGCAAUGGUAAGGCAACAUCUGGCUGCAACAUCAAAUUUUCAAUAAAAGAUCAUAACAUAAACAAACAAGAUAUGUGAGGAAAACUAUGAUGAUAUAGCCCAUACAUGUUCCUGAUCACGAGCUAGCUGGGAAAUUGUAAUAAGGUGAUCUUGCAACAAAGACCCGUGAAUAGAUUGCACCAUUGAAGAGGUAGCCAGCCCUUUGUUUCGCCAUGAAGGCCAAACAACUUCAGCACCAUCCCAACAAAAUCGAGUUUCCUCAGAAUUACUUUCAUCAGAAUACCAACUUCUCAUACCCCAAUGGCUAGGACUUGAGCUACCAGAUCUUACAACUGGAAAGCCCCUCUUUCUAGAUUCUCCAACUAGAGAAGGUGGAGGAGGUCGAGGUAGUCGAGGAACACAAAGUACCACUGGUGAUGGAGGCCGCUUGAUGCGAUGGGUCUCCCUCUUAGUAGUAGGUAUACAUGGGCUUUUAUGAUCAUGACCAACCUUAAAUUCAGAUCUCGAACCCCUCCUUGAUAUACUUGGAACAAUGAUCGGCCGCAGCAUUGAAUAUGGAAGUGUGUCCCCUUUCACUCCCUCAAAACCAUUAGGUGGAUUAUUCACAGAUAUUGAGGCUUUCUCUUCAGGACCAUCGGAUACUGAAGAUGAGGAGUUCAGUACCUUUCCAGUACUGUCAUUUCCUGGCAUAGCAUAACCAACAGACUGGUGUCCCGGUCCCAAUGGAUCAAAUGGUGAACAAAAUGGGGCAGCAGGUGGUGAGGGCAGACCAUUCGAAUUGUAGGAAGCAGAUAAUCCAGGCGUGCCAACCAUAUCAUCAACAGCUCUAUUCAUAUCUGCUUCAUGCCAAGCCCAAGCACUCUCUUCAGAACUGUGAGAAGGUGGGCGAGAGAAACCCGUUCCAACAUGUUCAGCAGGAUUCCAGUACAUUAUUCCACCACCAAAAAAUUGAUUAUAAUCCUUUCCAGAAAAUGCAUGAGUUUCAUAUUCUUCUACAGAAAACCAGCAGCUUUCAGUAUCAUCCACCAAAUCAGAAGUGUUUUUCAAAUCAUACAUAUCUAAAAUAUCCCCAGGAUGCUUUCUCUCAUUCUCACCGGAAGUCCCAUUAAUUUGCAGUCCAUAAGUAGCAAAUCCUGGGCAGAGUGAAGACUGCAUCCUUGGAUCAUAUCCAGAAUCAUAGCUUACAGUCACAGUCUGACUCAAUCUACUACAAGUUUUGACCAUAGGAGGCCAGUCAAAACUCAUGGGCAAAGUUAGAGAAGGUAAAAUUCGACUGCGCCCACCUUCACUUGAUGGCUUUCUUCCCUGAUGCCUGGAAGGCAGAAAGGACUGAUGAAAGUGACUGGGCCAUUUAUGACCAACAUCCUGAUGUAAUCUGUCUGUGGCAGCUGGGAGAUGCUGUGAAUGAACAGAUGUAAAAUCAGGAGGCGAUAUGGUAGGCCACUCAUAUGAAGUGCCUCCCAUGGAACUUGUGUGGUUUCGUACAUAAGAUUCACUACCAUUAUUCUCGAUUAUGGAACUAUUCUCAUCCAUAAUACCUUGAACCAAGUUUGGAGGAGCAACAUACUGUGAAUGGGUGUUAUUUAUAUCCUGGGUACUAUCAUGCUCAUGUUCCUUAAGCUCGAGUGUAGACACAGCAGGGCUCAUAACUUCACAUGCAGUAUUGCUACUGGAACAACUUAUGGAAGAAUUAAUACAAUUUACAAGUUUGUCACAACAAACAUUAAUGUUUCUCACAGAAGAUCCUGAAGAUAUCUGGGAGAUGCCUUCAGCCAUUUUAAUAGAAUUAUAGUCUUCUGAAUUGUUUGAACUCAUAUUACAUUCCACACCAGUAAAACAGAAAUCUGCAAUAGAAUGAGGGUCAGGAUCUAGCUGGAUGCUCAUCAUUUCAUUGUGAUUGAUGAAAUCAGGCUUAACAGAAGCAUCACAUAAAUUAGAAACAGGAGACAGACUAUGCCUGGCAGCAGAAUCAUUGGGGUCAGGUAAAGAUUCUGUCAGUUCACUUUCUGGAGCAACAGAUGUUACAGCAGUUUUCUUGUUAUCAAAUUCAGAAAAUCCAACUUUCACUAAGCCAGAAUUUUUUACUUUUAGCUCCUUUUCUUCCACCUUUUUUCUUACGUCUAUGGCCCUUGCUGUCAGCUAAACCUGCAGCAUGCUCCUUUUCUUCCACCAUUUUUUCUUACUUCUAUUCCUUUUUUGUUAACGGAGUUUCCCUCCCAGGAUCUUUCUUUGGAACACAAGGACUAGUUGUCCUUGCCUUCUGAUUAUCCACUACUGAAAGAGUGCUUUCUGGGGGGCAAAGCCCCGAGCUGCUAUCAUCUGCACAGUCUUCUCCACAUCCUUGAUCCUGAAAAUGACGUCAGUAAAUUAAUUAUCACUAAGUUGUGUCAGAAAGGGCAAAAAAAAAAGAAAAAAGAAAAAGGAAAAAGUUGCUGAAAGUAUGUGGAUACCAUAGAAGUUUUGUGUAAUGUUGAAUCAACCUUGGAUGGCUUAGAAGUAGAACUUAGCUUUCUUGAACUGCGACAUUUGUUCUUCCCUCUCCGACAACCAACAUUGCACUUCUCUUCACUUUUGUGUGGGAGGGCCUUUAACUUUACACCUCCCAUAAGUUCAAGUUUUAUAUAACUAAUGGAAACAACCAUGAGGAGUCUUCGCAGGUUUCUUAUUAUACAAUCAGAAAUGGUGUCAAGAGAUUCUAAUGUGCUGAAAAAUAAUGCCUUGUCUUCAGAUUCACUAAGCCAACAUGUUAAAAAAGUAGAUAUCUCCUGAACCACUAGCAAUCUGUUCAAAUAAUUGGUCAGGAUUCGUGGUCUUCUAUGAGAUGGCACAGUGAUGAUAUCCAAGGACAAAUCUAGAUUCCUUCUGAACAAUGACUUCUUCACCCUUUGCCAAGAUGCCAUAGGACCAUAUCUUAGUUUCAGUUCAUCUUCAAGUUUACAGAAACAAAAUUCAUUCCUCAAAGCAUUGUUUGACCCUUUAACAAUCUCAUUUGCCUGAAGAGUUACAAUGUUCAAAUAUUAGCAAUUAUUGAUGCAUAAAAAGAAAGAUGUUUACCAGCAAAGCGCCAACGAUAAUAAGCUGAAAUUCAUCUCAUUGAUAAAAUACGAGAAAUCAAGAUAAUCUCUGUAGUUCCACAUAAAAAUUGGCACUUUUCUUCGUUGUGUCGAUCAAGAGUUGAAGAACCAAUGCCGAUACCUUACAGGUAGGGUAUAGAUCAGUAUAAUUGGUUAUUGUGUCAACAGAUAGUAUGCCUCUUGCUGCCAGCACAAGAAAAAUAAGAUUAUGUAACAUGUAUUGGUACAGUAUCAAGAGGCAUAUUGAUACCAGUACAGUGAGGUAUGGUUAGUACCACCAAUACUUAAAUCCUUGGCCGGUCAUUGACAUGAGGCAAAAGAGUGGAUUUAGGCACAAAACAAGGAGAAAAUGCUUCUCUCCGCUUAUUCUUUAUCAAAUUAAUAAUAAGCAUCAUGAUUUUCACUUCUUUUUUUCGGACAACAAUUUGAAUCUUAAUCUGAUUUCUUUGGAAAAAGUAUAAUAAGUCUCUUCAGAGUUAACUUUGAAUGAUAGAUAAUUGCAAGCUGACAACUUUUUACAUGAUAGAUUUCUUCACUCAUAGACUAAUCCUGUGACUUCAUGUCUUACUUUAUCAAUAAAUUUAUAUAUGGGUAAAGAGGAAGCUUUAAACCAAGUAUAAGGUAAGUCUGCUAUAUCAGAGAAAGGCUCUCAGAUCUCAUCCACAGAAGUUUAAAGAAGCAUCAACAUCCAAUAUAUUUACCACUCAUAUUUCAUGAUAGAUUGCCAGUUUACAAAAGAAUGAAACCUAUGAUCCAACACCAGAAGAUCCUUUUCUCGGCAAGAAAUUCCCAAAAAUGCAUGCAGCUAACCAAAGAAGAGUGCUAUAAUAUCAUGGUGUUCUAUUUUAGGCCCAUGAAUCCCAACUUUGCCAAUUGGAUCAGGUAAUGAGUAAUAACGAAUUAUGCUUUGGAAACAAAGACCCUUGUAUAUACAAGAUAUCAGAUCUCAAUUUACCCAUGUGAAAUAAAAAAGAAUAAUACCGCUUCUUAUAAUAAACUCAUUAGUGCUAAAUAAGUCCCCAGUUAUUAGUCAAAGGACUCAACCAAAUUCCCAUUUCUCUCCAGAAGUGUCUUCAGUAUGCUAAGCCAUUUGCUCUCUCUCUCUCUCUCUCUCUGGGGGUGCAGGAGGGGUGAAGGGAAGGGCUCAUGCCCAAUGAUUAUUCCAUAUACCAUGAAAUAUAACAAACUCAUUUAGUGGAUUAGUACAGUGUGCAUGCAGUUCAUACAUAAUGCAGACACACAUGGACUAUAACAAGUUGGCCAUAUGCUGUAGAUGUAAGCUAGUUCUUAUUUUGUAUUCCAUAUAUAUCAGUGGAAUUAAUCAUUCUCUCACCUUUUAGUUAGCAUGCUUUAACUUGGUGGUCCAUGAAGAUUUCUCAAGAAUGUGGGAACUUUCAGGGUAAACAUUUUUUAAAUAGAGUUGGGAGGGGGAGAAUGGGAUCUAAACUAAAUAUCAAAACAGGAAAUCUAGACAAACCAAAAGAAUGUUUUCCAAAAAAUGAAUUAUAUUAGUUCCUAGUAAAGGCAUAGCCUACAACUUCAUCACCACCCAUUUCAUGUUCUUAAGCCAUUUCUAUAAAAAAUAUCUGAUCUUUCUCUUCACAAAAGUAAAUCAUGAGUGAAUCCUUAAUUUCUAUGGCAUGACAUCAAAGUUGGACCCUCAACAGAUUCUGUACCAUGCUACUUCAAAAGGUCAUUUUCCUUAGCAAGAGGCCACCUGAGUAACUAGUUGGUAGGAUUAGCAGUAAGUGCACAAAAUGGUGCAAUGAAAUGAGCAAGCUUGCAAUGCAACACAAGCCACUGUCUAAACCAGCACCAAGGAAGACCACGUUGGAUAUCCAAUUAUUGAUAAAACAUACAUCCAAUAGUUGUGUCAACCAAACAGCAGGAAGACCUUCACGAGUUCAGCUCAACAAGUAAUUCCCAAGUAAAACCUGGUUCCAGGUUCCUGCAACCAUUCUGACUCUCUCUCACUGAGAAUUGACAAGUAACAAAAUCAUACGGCAAGACUUUGAGGACAAAGGUGCUUUUGGUAUUCAGGAUAAGAUUGUAGCACCCCUUCACAUCCUCUGAUAUGCUUUAAGAUGCAAGCGCUGUCAAUUGACAUGAAGAACCACUUUCAUACACUGAAUCUGAAUCAAAAGUUAGCUAAACUAAACCUUCCCUUUCACGAAAAAUAAAAGAUCUCAAUUCUCACAUGGUUCAGAUUUUAUCAUUAGUUAUUCAAAUAUUAAAGUUCUCUCUUUUCUUUUUCGUAACAAAAGUUUUCCAUUAAUGAUCUUAAAACUCUUACGGUAAAAACAGAAACUUUGUAGGAUGAAUUGGGGAGUAAAAACCAAAGCUACAUUGGAAAUCCAAGAUGGUAAAACAAUUACCAGAAAUUUCGCUGCUUUCCAUAAAAAAGCCUGAAAAAUCUUCUCUCUGUCCGGGAUCCAACCCCAUCCACCAGUCCAGGCACCCCUUCUUCCUCCAAAAGGCAUUGGCAGCUAGACCAGCGACCGCAGCCCUCUCCUUCGCUGCCUUCCUCCCCUUCGGAUUCUUCCCUCCAUGGGAGCUAAGCCACGCCAGCCUCAACGCCACCUCCAGCCGAUUCGCCACGAAUGCCUCCAAGCUGUAGUACCCCUUAUCCUUCAACCACGGCAGCUCCGCCCAGGGCGCCCCCAACCCACUCUCCUCUUCUCUCAGGAACCUCCCACCGGAGAUCCCAUCCAUGACCUCCACGAACCGGUCCGCGUCGACGACCAAGUCCUCGGAGACCGUGAGGAAAUCCAGGGGGACAGUCGGCGGUCUGCUCGCCCUCCCGGGACCCGAAGAGGCGGAGGGAGCGAGCGAGGUCAAGCUCGGCGGUGGAGGAGGCGGCGGCGCGGGCGAGGAGGCCGUGGUAGCGGCGGAAGCAGAGGGAGGGGAGGGAGGGGGAGGAAGAGGCGGGAAGGUCAGGGAGGAGGAAGAAGAAGCCGUGGCCGUGACGGCGGAGGCGGGAGAGCAUCUGGAGGAGGAUGCGGACGAAGUCGGGGUCGAUGACGGUAAGGGCGGACUGGCGGUGAGAAGCGGAGAGGGAGGAGAACCACCUGAGGACGGCGGCGCGAGGCUUGGGGUUCGGGUUUGGUUUUGAGGAGUGGUAGAGGGCGAUAUGGGCAGUGAGGGAAUCGAAGAGCUGGUGGGCAUCCAUGGCGGGCGGCGGAGUCGGUCGGAAAGUGUUUGUUUGUGUGUCCGAGAGACGCAAAUGGAGGUUGGUGGAACCUUGGGAGGCGGGGUAAGAGUGGGACACCUGGCACAUUAGUUUGUGUUAUGGAACCAGUUCCAACCUUCGUUUGCACCUCAACAUCUUUUUUUUUUAACAUAAUAGAAUAGAUAAUUAAAAUAAAAUAAAUAUAAUUAUUUAAUUAUUUUUCAAAAUACUUUUUAAUAUUAAUAUUAUGAUAUAUUAUUAAUAUACAAAAUUUCGAUAGCAUAUGCAAAAUUAUCAUUAUAAUAAGAUAAUAUAUUAUCAUAAAAUAAUAAGAUCAUAAUCCAAUUUGUAUAUAAAUAAGAAAUAAAAAAGUAUUGUAUGUCUAGAAUAUAUAAAUAAAAUAUAGUAGAAUUAUUAAUAGUUAUGCUUUUAUUUUUAAAUAAAAAUAUGAUCACAAAAAUACAAUAAAUUUUAAUUAAAUAUUAAUGCAACAUAAUAUAGGUACAAAUUUAAAAUAUUUUUAUUAAUAUCAACAUAUAUUAGCAAGUAUGGUUACUAAUAAUAUCAUUAACUUUUAUAUUAAUUUCAUGAUGCUUUAUUUAAUAUAAUUUAAUAAGUUAAUAAGUUUCUUAUUAAUCUAUUCAUAAGCUUUUUAUUUAAUAUGGUAUUAAAUAAUUUUUUUAUUAAUAAUGUUAUUAAGAUAGAUACCGAGAGCUUUGCUGAAAUAAAGCCUUCAUUUUAAUAUGUGUGUGUGUACACAUACACACAUAAAUAUAUAUAUUAAAUAUAUUAGAUGACCCCUAACAUUUGGUAUCAUAACUAUUUUGCUUCCAACCUAUAAAAUAAUUGCCGCUAAAUAUAUAUUUUCACUGGAUAGAUAUAGAUACGUUAAUAUUAAUUAAAUAUUAAAUUUUUAUCCAUAUGUAUUUUAACCCGUUACAAAUACAAAUUUAUAUUUUUUUAUCUUCUUCCUCUCUACACUAAAAUCCUCUAGCCUACGUUAUGGCCCACAAAAACUCUUGCCACGUUUUUGAAAAGUUAUCCAUAAGCCUCAACAUUACAUACAUUAUGCUUUCAUAUCUCAUUGUUGAUUGGACAUAAGAUCGGCAAAUGAAAACUUUAUUUAUUUAGUUAAGUCUUAAUAGUAGAGUUCCUUUCUUUAUUAUAAUAGAGAUUGAUAUCAGCUAUUACUUCACAUUAAUAAGUAUCCCAAUUUACAGAACAUGUAUAUUUAACGGCUGAACACGCAUCAGCAUUACCAAGCCGUGCCCGUCUCACAAACAGAACAGAGAUCAUUCAGGAGAAAAACAAACUAUAGAGUAAGCAAUUAAUAAAUAAACGUACAGAUGGUUUAAAGACAUCGUCUUCUGUGGAUCCAAUCAAGAUGAUGAGAAUGAGGAUUUAAUGGUGACUUCGCCAGUUGAAGGGUCAAAAAAUGCCUCAAUCUCAGCAAAGCACUCAACGGCAUCGACUGCCACAGGCUUGCUCAAAAGCUUCACUCCUUGUUUCCAAUAUCUGCUAUCUGAAAUCAACAGUCCCACAAGAAUGAAAAUAUAAAUAAAAGAAAGGCGAUACGGCUUGGAAUAUCUUGGAUUUUACACAAGUUGUUUCUUCAUUAAAAGUUUUAAGGACAAUGAAGUAUUGCAUCAGGAAUACUGGAAUGGAACAAGUGAUUCAUAAUGAUGCAAACCUGGCCCAGUUGUCAAAACAAUGGAAUUUUUUUCAUCCAUCACCCAAUCAAUCCAAAGUGCAAAACCAUGGCAUAAUCCUGGCUCCGAAAACUCAAUCUACAUAAAGAAUGAAGAGGUUGGAAUACUAUUGCUGAAGAAGUAGAAAACAACAUGAUCAGAAUGCCCUUUAGUAAAGUACAUGGAGAGUUGGCUAAAAGCGUAUCCUUUGGAACGAAAGUUCCUGGUAUCAUGCCAUUGUUCAUUUUAUGUAAUUUUUCUUCAUUGUUUAACCAGUUGACUUCAUUUUUUUCAAUUUUUUUGCCAUUUUGUAUCUUGCACAUGUGUGAGCCACACCUCUCCAGUUUUCAUUACCUCAGUACCCUAUUCUUCUUUUCAAUUGUUUUCAUCAAUUUGAAAUUUUAACCUAAUCCUCAGCAGCAUCAGGAUCUUAAUUUCCAAGACCUGUCAGUAACUUCAAGGCCAGGACAAUUAACCACCUCUCAUAUUUCAUUGUUAUCAUAUCUUUGUUCUGCACCCAUCAGACCUCCUUUAUUAGUCCAUACAAAUGUAGGUUUCCUGUUCUACAAUAAGCCUUUUCUUUUGAAAUUUGUAGAUUAUAUUAUAUUGUAUGUGAGUGGCUUUUUGUAGGCUUUGAUAAAAAUAGCUUUUCUAUUAUCUUUGGUUGUUGGGAAGUAAGAAACUUUUUUGUUAUUUGGAAAGACAUAACUAAGUUGCCACUUUCUGCUUAUGGGUUGAGUAGCUUGUUGAUAUCAAAUUUGAUGAGUGCAAACAAUGUGAGAAGCAUGCAUGGAAGCAAUGGAAUUGAAAGAUCUGAAAAGAUGCGACCGGUGAAAAUUAUGGCUUUAUUUGGGAAGGUACAUAGUCCAAUCUUGGCUAAUUGAAAACAUCAAUAAUGAAGAUCAAAUUUAAGCUAUAACUGUCUGAGAAUCGAAAGGAAAUCCUCGGGAUCAAUGAUAUAGGUGGCACAAGCUGUCUGAUAUAUGCCAUAAUUAAAUGGAUUGCAGGCCAAAAUUUGUAAAGGCCUGUCACAACAUUUGGGAGAAAGACUGCUUCUACCUGUUUCAUUAUCAGAAGAUCACCUCGAAUCAAGUACUGGACUAGAUAUUAGUUGCACCCACCAACUCAAAGCGUGUAGACUCUUUUAUUAAUUAUAACUCUGAAUACAGGAGUUGACAAAGAAGUUUGCCAAAGAUUUACUCAGAAUUUAAUGAGAAAUCCUCACCAUUUUCAUGUAUAAAAGUAAAAUUUCAUAUGAUGAAUGUAAAUCUGAAAAAUGGGCAAAUGAAUAUUUUAGCCAGUUGAGGACAAUUGGAUAGCAUGCAAUAUAAAAUAAAAAUGGCCAACAAAAACAUGCAUUGAAGAUCAAGUAUAUAGCAUCUAUUCAGGAAAAUGCACAUAAGGGCUACACAAAGAAGCCACUGAACAAAAAAUACCUUUGUUUUUCCAAAACAUGCAUGAAUUGGCUCUGAGAAAUUAAACUCCAUGAUUGAAAUUGCCUCACUAAGUUUCUGUUGGAUAUUAAGUGAACAAUCACAUCAGUUUACAAGAAUAAAACCAAUCAUUUAUAUAAGUCAAACUUAUCUUCUACAAUUUGAUAUACUUACCUUAACCUCACCACAUUGCCAUAUAUAAUAAGGCAGACAAGGACCUUCCUGCAUUGGUGGUAAGUCGCCACAGGCCCCUAAAGUCUCGUUCACAACUGAAUGGUCAAAGCCUUCAACAUCUUGGAGGCAGCACUGACUUCUCCACAAGUUCUGCAUAAGAAAAUAAAUUUUCUAACACUACAACAACGAGAAAAGAAAUCACCGGCUUCAAGCAAUCAAUUUAUAGAAUAGAAAAAAAAGGAGGUACAAAUAGAAAAGAAACUCACCGGAAGUGACAUGGCACAAACCUUCAAGGUUCCUUUACAAGGCAUGAUAAAUACAUCCUCAGCUAGAAUCGAGUCAAGCAGAGUCCUCUCCUUCCUUCAAUCAAUUUAAAAUGAACCAGAAUGCUUAGGACUAUGAUAUAAUGUCAUACAUAAGAUAAUAGAUACAGAAAUCAAAAGGUAGCCCGCCUUCUAUUGUUGGCUUUAUCGUGCAAAAAGGUAUAAUCCCUUGAAUACUGUGACAGACUCUCAUUGCGUUAAGGUUUACAUGAGCAAUUCUACUCUUUUCUAUGUCAAGUCCUCACAGGCACAAUACAAAACACCUGUUUAGCUGAAGGGACAGGUUUCGACCUUAUUGGCAUCAUCUAUUUGCUAGUGUUGCACCAUUAUUAUAGCAUAUUGAUCGACUGUGUUGUCAAGAUUGACAGAGUCAUAAAUCAUAGAGGAAGCUAGAUCAGACUGGGAAUGUAUCAAAUUGCAGAUGGUAAAAUAUUCCUUUUCCAGUUUCUUCAAAAAUUUAAAAAUAUAAAAGAAAUGUGACCGGGAAAAAAAUGAGUCAAACACAAAG
rnacentral:lncRNA from 1 species